GUGGUUGUCGUCAUCGUGCUCGUGCUCGUGCUCGUGGUCAUCGUCGUCGUCAUCGUCGUCGUCGUCAUGGUCGUCGUCUUCUUCAUGGUCGUCGUCGUGAUCGGGGUCCUCCUCGUGGUCAUCAUCAUGGUCGGGGUCCUCCUCAUGGUCGUCGUCAUGGUCGGGGUCCUCAUCACCGUCGCGCACACGACCACGGCGCCCACGUCCACGCCCACGCCCGCGUCCACGCCCACGCAGACGGCCGUGCCCGCGGCGCGUGUGGUUGCCGCCAUGGUGACCGGUGCCGUUUCUUGCAACGACAACGCCGCUGCUGUUGCUGUUUGCCGCCAUCAGACCAAGGGACGAGAUGUUGAUGACCGCCGCGUGGCCAUGGCGUCCACGGAGGCGGCGGUCACUGUCUCCACCGUGGUGAUCGUCGUCGCCGUCGUCAUCAUCGUUGUCGUCAUCAUCAUCAUCGUCAUCGUCGUGGUGGUGAUGGUGUCGGUCGUCCUCCGGAGGGCUGGGCGGCAGGAUGGAGCAGGCCUGGCUGGCAAUGGCGAACUGACUGAUGCAGAAGGCCUUGGCCUUGCCCUGCUGCGCGGCGACGGGGGCGAGGAGGGAAGGGAAGAAGAGGAGGACGGCGGCCAAAGCCGCGAUGUGGGACGCCGAUGCUGCCAUCUACGGAGUCGUGGCUGCUAUGUGAAGUGCCACACUAGUGCAUGCCGGCCACUUCUUAUAAAGAUGUGUAACCAAGUCAGUAAUGUGCAUUAGAGAGGUUAUUAAAUAGUUGGGGUCAAGGCCGGGUUGGGAGUGACCUGGUCGAUCGAGAUGCACACAGCAUGGUGCAUGGUUGUAAUUAGUUAGGUGCUUCAUAACUAUGGCGUGCAUCCAGGAUUGUCCAGCCAUGUCCACCUUGUUUACAUGCAUGAAGGCGUGCAUUGUUGGUGAGAGGCCAGUGACAAUUUGGUUGUAUUAAACUUACUAAAUUAUUAUGUUCGUCAAUCUUAAAAGAAGUCCGCCUAAUUUAGAAUGUUUAGAGGUUGUUUGCAUUUGUUAAGCUGUCUUACAUUUUGUUUUUCAUUUACCCCGCUGGUUAAAAGAGAUAAUGAUAUGUACUCCCUCCGUUCUUAAAUAUAAUUUUUUUAGACACUACAAAACUACAUACAAAUGUAUAUAAAUAUAUUUUGAAAUAUAAAUUUAUCUAUUUUAUUAUGUAUGUAGUUAUAUAAUGAGAUAUAUAAUAAAACUUAUAUUUAAGAACGAAGAAGAGAGUACGUACUGUACAAAUAGUCAAAUCUCACCAUUCAAAGCAUCAAAAGAUAACAAAGAUUACGUCGAGUUCUCUAAACCACCAAGCUACCAAUGCCUCCUGAGAGAGCCAGUUCAAAAUUCAUGAAAAUUCAUACCAUAUAAUGCAAUUUAGUUUAAAUGUCAUAAUAAUUUCAGCAAAUCUCUAUCUCUACUACUUAAGGUUACCGUUUCACCACUUGCUGCGUGCAUUCUUUCUAUAUAUAUUCUCCCUUCCUUUUAUGUCUUUUUCCUCCUACGUUGAUUUUCUCCCACUAGUUUUCUCUAAAGCAACUCAAUUAUCUCACGUCUUAUUAACUAUCAAAAUAAAAUAUCAUUACCAUUGAUAACUCAAUAAAUUGUUACAAACUAUUCCCUCCGUCUUACGGCACUUAUUUUGGGGCGGAGGUAGUAUUAUUUAAGAAUAAGACGAGAGGUGAAUUAGGAUCAUUGUAAACAAAAAAUAGAUAAGAUUUUAGUUCACCAAUGUAAUAAAAGACUUUCACUACUAGGAAAAAACUUAUAGACAAACGCUAACUAGUAGCGCAGGUUUUUACCCCUCGCUACUGAUACUUAGUAGUAGCACGAGUUUUUACCCCUCUACUACUAAGUUGAUAGUAGUAGCGCGGGUUUUUAACCCUCGCUACUACUAAGUGGUCUCAACUGUGCCCCCCUAGGACAUGCAAUAGUAGUAGCGCGGUGUAUAAACGAGCGCUACUACUAAGUUGAUAGUAGUAGUGCGGGUUUAAAACCCACGCUACUACCAGGUAGCCUUCAUUGUUGAAAGGACCACGAUGACGCCUCGAGGGGGGGGGGGAGGGGGGAGGGUGAAUAGGCUAUUUAAAAACUUGUUCGGAUUUGGCUUAAACCUAAUGCGGAAAUAAACUAAGAGGAUACUUUUCAAGCACAAAUCCUAAAUGCAAUAGGCACCNNNNNNNNNNNNNNNNNNNNNNNNNNNNNNNNNNNNNNNNNNNNNNNNNNNNNNNNNNNNNNNNNNNNNNNNNNNNNNNNNNNNNNNNNNNNNNNNNNNNNNNNNNNNNNNNNNNNNNNNNNNNNNNNNNNNNNNNNNNNNNNNNNNNNNNNNNNNNNNNNNNNNNNNNNNNNNNNNNNNNNNNNNNNNNNNNNNNNNNNNNNNNNNNNNNNNNNNNNNNNNNNNNNNNNNNNNNNNNNNNNNNNNNNNNNNNNNNNNNNNNNNNNNNNNNNNNNNNNNNNNNNNNNNNNNNNNNNNNNNNNNNNNNNNNNNNNNNNNNNNNNNNNNNNNNNNNNNNNNNNNNNNNNNNNNNNNNNNNNNNNNNNNNNNNNNNNNNNNNNNNNNNNNNNNNNNNNNNNNNNNNNNNNNNNNNNNNNNNNNNNNNNNNNNNNNNNNNNNNNNNNNCACACGAUAUAUCAAAAGCUGCAAGUGUGAACGUGUGGAUAUAGAGGGUAUGCUUGAACGAUUAAUCUUGUACAAAGAAAUAGCCAACACAAUAUAAUGAGCACAAACAAUAUGCAAUGUAUGUAUGCUCAAGUAANNNNNNNNNNNNNNNNNNNNNNNNNNNNNNNNNNNNNNNNNNNNNNNNNNNNNNNNNNNNNNNNNNNNNNNNNNNNNNNNNNNNNNNNNNNNNNNNNNNNNNNNNNNNNNNNNNNNNNNNNNNNNNNNNNNNNNNNNNNNNNNNNNNNNNNNNNNNNNNNNNNNNNNNNNNNNNNNNNNNNNNNNNNNNNNNNNNNNNNNNNNNNNNNNNNNNNNNNNNNNNNNNNNNNNNNNNNNNNNNNNNNNNNNNNNNNNNNNNNNNNNNNNNNNNNNNNNNNNNNNNNNNNNNNNNNNNNNNNNNNNNNNNNNNNNNNNNNNNNNNNNNNNNNNNNNNNNNNNNNNNNNNNNNNNNNNNNNNNNNNNNNNNNNNNNNNNNNNNNNNNNNNNNNNNNNNNNNNNNNNNNNNNNNNNNNNNNNNNNNNNNNNNNNNNNNNNNNNNNNNNNNNNNNNNNNNNNNNNNNNNNNNNNNCAAAUCUCAAAUAGCUUGGGUUGAGAGGAGGAGAGGGAGACGAUCUAUCUUUUGAUUGGAACAACUCUCAAAGGGGCUCACAAAUGCUCUUGGGAUCUAAGAUUUGGUGUGAGCAAAUGUGUGUGAGGUAGAAAUGUGUUCUUAUGAGGAUAUGGCUGUGUUGGGCACCCUCUCACGAAGUGGGAGGGGGGUAUUUAUAGUGGAGAAGGGAAAGUGACCGUUGGGGUCANNNNNNNNNNNNNNNNNNNNNNNNNNNNNNNNNNNNNNNNNNNNNNNNNNNNNNNNNNNNNNNNNNNNNNNNNNNNNNNNNNNNNNNNNNNNNNNNNNNNUUUUUUUGAGACUAGAGUCUACGACCAUGGAAGAAUUUUGAAUCUGCAAAAACUCAAUCUUCUUUGUAUUAUUUCACCGAUACUUGUUCUUUACAUUGCUUCAGUCGACGGUCACGUGUAGAAGCGCUUCAGGAGAUCUCCGUUCCAUGCUCGCGGCUCGUCCGUUUCCCUGUCGAUGUUGUAGAGUCGGUAUGCUCCAUUGUUCAGCACCUUGGGGAUGAUGAAGGGUCCUUCCCAGGCGGGAGCCAACUUGUGAGGUCUCUGCUGAUCCACUCGGAGCACCAGGUCGCCUGCUUGGAAUGUACGACUCCUGACGUGUCGCGCUUGAAAGCGCCGCAGAUCUUGUUGAUAAAUGGUUGAGCAAGUCAGUGCCAUCUCGCGCUCCUCCUCUAGAAGAUCCACUCCGUCUUGCCUUGCUUGUUCUGCUUCAGCUUCGGAGAAGAGUUCAACUCGUGGAGCGUUGUGAAGCAAGUCACUCGGAAGGACUGCCUCUGCUCCGUAAACGAGGAAGAACGGGGAUCGCCCUGUAGAUCUAUUUGGGGUUGUGCGGAGACCCCAAAGCACCGAAGGUAGCUCGGUGACCCAUGCGCCAGCGACAUGUCCCACCUCUCGCAGUAGUCGAGGCUUCAAACCAUCCAGAAUAAGUCCAUUCGCCCGCUCUGCUUGCCCGUUUGUUUGGGGAUGCGCCACAGAUGCAAAAUCCACUCGGAUACCUUGGCCUGUAUAGAAACCUUUGAAUCUGUCCGAGUCAAAGUUUGUUCCAUUGUCAGUGAUUAUGCUGUGAGGUACCCCAAAUCUGGAGAUGAUGUCCGUGACAAACUUGAUGGCCGUAAGGGCGUCGAAUUUUUUGAUGGGCUUGGCUUCGAUCCACUUUGUGAACUUGUCGACUGCCACCAACAGAUGUGUGAAUCCGCCUUGGCCUGUCCUGAAUGGACCGACUGUAUCUAAUCCCCAUACCGCAAAUGGCCAAACAAGAGGGGUUGUCUUCAAUGCAGAUGCUGGCUUGUGGGACUUGUUAGAGUAGAACUGAGAGCCUUCACAUCGGUCGACCAUAUCUUUCGCCAUUUCAUUUGCCUGCAGCCAGAAGAAGCUAGCCCUGAAUGCUUUGGCGACGAUUGCUCUUGAAGAGGCGUGAUGACCGCAGGUUCCCGAGUGAAUUUCCUCCAGGAUUAACUGUCCCUCCUCUGGGGAGAUGCAUCGUUGAAGGACGCCUGAAACGCUUUCCUUGUACAAAUGGCCAUCGAUGACAGUGAACGACUUUGACCUGCGGACGAUCUGUCUGGCUUGGACUUCGUCUUCUGGUAAUUCUUGCCUCAGGAUGUAUGCAAUGAUAGGGACAGUCCAAUCGGGGAUGACAGCAAGAAUCUCCAUGAUCAAAUCAACUAUAGCAGGUACGUCGACUUCAGUCGGAUCUGUCGAGCUCUUCGGUUGUACUAGUUCCUCUGUGAAAGGAUCUUCUUUAAUUGAGUGAAGGUGGAGGUGCUGGAGGCAUACGUCACUCGGGACUGGUCUCCGAGUGGAUCGAAGUUUUGCCAACUCAUCAGCUGCCUGGUUCUUCAGUCGCGGAACAUGGUGGAGUUCCAGACCUUCAAACUUUUUCUCGAGCUUCCUCACUGCAUUGCAGUACGUGGUCAUGGUGGGGUUCCUGACGUCCCACUCCUUCAUCACUUGAUUGACCACCAAAUCCGAAUCGCCAUAGACCAUCAGGCGACGGACGCCGAGUGAGAUGGCCAUGCGUAGUCCAUAAAGGAGAGCUUCAUACUCUGCCUCGUAGUUGGAGGAAUCAAAGUGUCUCUGCAGCACAUACUUGAGUUUGUCGCCCUUUGGCGAUAUGAUCACAACGCUAGCGCCGGAGCCAUUCAACAUCUUGGACCCAUCGAAGAACAUUGUCCAAUGAGCCGAGUAGAUGUGGGUCGGUUGGUGUUGUUCUACCCAUUCUGCUAUGAAGUCAGCCAGAGCUUGAGACUUUAUAGCUUUCUUGGCCUCGAACUUGAUGUCGCAGUACAACAUCUCCAUUGCCCAUUUCGCCACUCGGCCCGAUGCGUCCCAAUUGUGGAGGAUUUCCGACAACGGAGCAUCAGAAACGACAGACACCGAGUGGUCUUGGAAAUAAUGAGCUACCUUCUUCGUAGUCAUGUAAAUCCCGUAGAUAAGUUUCCGAUAGUGGGGAUACCUCUGCUUGGAAGGAGUUAGGACUUCGGAGACAUAAUACACUGGCCGCUGAACCUUGUAUGCUUUGCCUUCUUCUUCUCGUUCAACUAUGAGAACAGUGCUGACGACUUGAUUUGUAGCGGCGAUGUACAGAAGAAGGGGCUCUUUACUGAGCGGAGCAGUAAGAAACGGCUGGGUGGAAAGUAGGACUUUGAGGUCGUCGAAUGCGACUUGGGCUUCGUCUGUCCACUCGAAAGUAUCUGAUUUCUUCAUGAGUCGGUACAGAGGAAGCGCCUUCUCACCGAGUCGACUGAUAAACCUGCUCAAAGCUGCUAGGCAACCUGUGAGCCUUUGAACAUCGUGUAUUCUGACCGGCCGCUCCAUUCGAACGAUGGUCCCGAUCUUUUCGGGGUUGACAUCGAUCCCUCGUUCGGAAACGAAGAAACCGACUAACAUUCCGCUGGGAACACUGAAUGAACACUUGGCUGGGUUGAGCUUGAUAUCGUACCUACGAAGGUUGGCGAAUGUUUCUGCCAAGUCAGUCAGCAGGUCGGAACCUUCGCGUGUAUCAUCCAUAUACGCCUCCACAUUCCGACCGAUCUGGUCGAGGAGGCAUUUUUGGAUCAUGCGCAUAAAGGUUGCUCCUGCAUUCUUCAAACCAAAUGGCAUAGUGAUGUAGAAGAAGCACCCGAAUGGGGUGAUGAAGGCUGUUUUUAAUUCAUCGGGGCCAUACAGACGGAUCUGAUGAUAGCCCGAGUAGGCAUCAAGAAAUGACAAACGCUCGCAACCCGCAGUCGAAUCGACAAUUUGAUCGAUGCGGGGGAGCGGAAAAUGGUCUUUCGGGCAGACCUUGUUGAGAUGCUUGAAGUCGAUGCACAUUCGGAGCGACUUGUCCUUCUUGGGCACCAUGACAACAUUGGCAAGCCACUCGGAGUGGUGUACCUCGCGAAUGAAGUUGGCUGCCAAAAGCUUGGCCACCUCUUCUCCGAUUGCCUUCCUCUUGUGCGCGGCGGACUGACGCGGGCGUUCUCAGACAGGCCGAGCGGCAGGAUCCACAUGUAGUCGGUGCUCAGCCAACUCCCUGGGUACACCUGGCAUGUCAAAGGGAUUCCAUGCGAAGAUGUCCCAGUUCUCACGGAGGAAUUGGAUGAGCUCGGCUUCCUAUUUAGGAUCGAGAGUGGUGGAGAUGUUCGUCGGGGCAGCGGUGUCGUCCGUCGGGUGGAUGCUGACCUUCUUCGUCUCUCCCGCCGACUGGAAUGCGGACUCCGAAGAUGGCUUCUUCGAACGCAUCAGGUCAGCGGGGUCGACUGUCUUCUUGUACUCGUCAAGCUCGAGGACAGCCAUCUGCUGAUCGGCGAUCCUCUAUCCCUGCUGCAGACACUCCUCGGCCCGCUGCCGAUUGCCUGUGAUAGUGAUCACACCUUUCGGGCCUGGCAUCUUCAGCUUCAGGUACACGUAACAUGGACGGGCCAUGAAACGUGCAUACGCCGGGCGGCCCAGAAUCGCGUGGUACGCACUCUGGAAGUCCACCACCUCGAACGUCAGCUUUUCCUUGCGGAAGUUCUUGUCGGAGCCGAAGACAACGUCCAACGCGAUCUGGCCGAGUGACUUGGCCUUUCGUCCAGGGACGACUCCAUGGAACUGCAUGCUGCUCUCGCUGAGUUUGGACAUCGGAAUGCCCAUCCCCUUGAGAGUGUCGGCGUACAUGAUGUUCAAGCCACUGCCGCCGUCCAUGAGGACUUUGCGCAGUCGGACUCCUUCCACCACCGGGUCGACGACCAGAGCCUGCCUCCCUGGGGUGGGUACGUGUGCUGGAUGAUCGGACUGGUCAAAGGUGAUCACAGUCUGAGAUCAUUUGAGGAACGUGGGGUUGGUCGGCGUGGCCAUGUUCACCUCCCUGUUCACCAGCUUCAGUCGACUCUUGCUUUCAACGUCAGCAAAAAUCAUCAGUGUUGCAUGGACUUGGGGGAACGGAUCCUCCUUGUCCUCCUCAUCUUGUUCAUUGCCCUUUUCACUCGGUUGCCCUUCGCCGAACCCUUGGAUCAGGACGCGACAUUUCCGAGUGGUGUGCUUCGGAUAUAUGGCGUUGCCCUCUUCAUCCAUCUUCGUGUGGACCGGACAUGGCUGGUCCAGGAUGGGGUUGCUGAACUGCUUCUUCUUGGGGGUGAAUUGAGCCUUCCCCUUGCCUUUGAACUUGGCAUUGGUAACAGUUGCGGCUUCCGCCUGCUGAGUGGACGGAGCUUUCUGCUUCUGCUUCCGAGUGUUAUUCCCAUCUCCAUCGACGACUGCUUUGUGCUUGCCGCUACGGAUGCGGUCCUUUUCUUCGCCAUUUGCAUAGCAUGUCGCUAUCUCCAUCAUCUUGCUCAUGGAGAUGUCGCCGGUUCGACCGAACUUCAGGUACAGAUCUCUGUACGCAUGCCUGCCUUGAAGGCGCAGACUGCUUGGUGCUCUGUGACGUUCUCCACCGUGUGGUAGAGGGUCAUCCAACGCUGAAUGAAAUCGCGCAGGGGUUCAUUCUGCUUCUGGACAUAGUGCUGGAGCUCCACGAGGCGAGCAGGGCGCUUGCACGUUCCUUCGAAGGUCCUGAUGAAAACUCGGGCCAGAUGUGCCCAGCUGUAGAUGCUUGAGAGAGCCAACUGGUUCAGCCACGCUCGUGCCGAGCCGUCGAGCAUCAGAGGGAGGUGCUUCAUGGCGACGUGGUCGUCCCCUCCUCCGAUCUGGACUGCCACUCGGUAGUCGUCCAGCCACGUUUCUGGCUUGGACUCUCCUAUAAACUUGCUGAUCCCCGUCGCCAAUCGGAAGUUGGGAGGGAUGUCAGCCGACCGGAUGGCUCGACUGAAACACUCGGGACCAGAGACGAUGGUCCUGCUUCCACUCGGACGGUCCAUAUCGUGACCAUUGCGGUGGGCUCGGCCCCUGUUGACCCUCCGCUGGGCGAUAUGCCCUCUCGCGUCGGGCCUUGGAUCGUACGUGUCACCGACUGAACGCCGAUCAUCAUGAUGUCGGGGCCCGUAGGGCCCACCCCACGGAGGGGUGCGUGAACAGCGAUGAUCUUCGGGAUUUAUGGAACGGCUGCCUCCCUUGUGUCGCUGAUGAGAACCAGGGCUGUGAACUAAUCGAUGUGUGUUCGCAUGAACAGAACUAUUGUGGACCCUGUGGUGCGACUGGGAGACCACCGAAUUUUGUUGCUGCGCCGUGUGCAGCAGGGCACAGAUUUGCUCGAUCCCUCUGCCAGCCUCUGAAUCAGUCGACUGGAGAGAAUCUGCUAUCUUGGCGGCGGCAGCCAGGUUGAGGACGGGCGUGCGAUACACCUCCACGUUGCUCCGCCGAGUGUGCCGACUGGCAGAACGGCGGGGAUGACGGCGAGCGCCGGAUGUUUCGCCGACUUCGUGCUCGUUCCGGCCAGAUUGGCGGGGACUUUCAUGGGAGUUGGUCAUGUGCACUUCAGCUGCAGGUCCGUGACCCAAAUACUCGGAAGGAAACUCAGUCGGAACUGAGUCCGAGCGCUGGGACGGCGGUGCAACCACAACCGACUCUAGGACCGCCACUUGCGAGGACGCGUUCUGGUGCGCCUGGGCGUGUUGCACCCAACGUUGGAGCCGCGGACGGCGGGACCGCUUGUUACGGUGCGCGAUGACGGCCCAGGUCGACACCGGAGCCGAUUGCUGGAGCAGAAGAAUACCGCGGGCGCCGGCACGGAAGUGCGUAGCCCCGCGGCUGGGGAGUGCCUCGACGUCGCGAGGGGCAUCCCGGAGCCAUGCCGAAUCGUCGACGUUGAAGGAGAGAGCGCCGAACAGGAUCUCGUGACCCAUGCUCAAAUCUCCACCGGAUGACAUUAUGAAAAGAUGUAGUCGCAAACUCGCCGAAAGUUGCUUAGACGCCUGCCCCACGGUGGGCGCCAACUGUCGUGGGUGUAAGUCUGACAGUAGAUGUGUAGGGUACGAAAGGAUGGGCAGAGCCUUAGCUACGGCGAGGUUGUAUGAGUUAAGGCCCCUCUACGGUGGAGGUAAUAGGCCUAUGAUUCAGUGCUCUGGGAGCUUGUUGUCGAGUGGAAUAUGGAUUAUAGUGAAUUGCUAACCCCUGCACCAGUGGGGAAGGGUGGCUUAUAUAGAGUGCGCUGCCCUUCACAAUGGUUCGGUGCACAGGGUGGAGUAGUGGAGAAUAAAUGCCUACGUUACAAGUAACAUACGUCUUAAAUGCUAAUAAAGGCAUAUGGAAACGUAUGACCGUUUUCGUCCACGGGGGUUACGAUGCACAGAGUGGAAUCCAGUCGGUUAGUUUGAUACACUCCGAAAGCUCAUCUCCGGCUGGGUGCUGGAGGAUUUGUCACCGACUGGAUGAUGGGAAGUCCUUAAUUGAGUGGGAACUGACUAAGGGCCUUAUCCCUUAUGAAGGGUAGUCCUUGGGUAGGACUUAUAGGGCAGGCCUAUGACCCUACCCUAGGACUAUAACCCCAUCAACCAUCAACGGAGAUGUUUGGGAAGAAGGUCCAUAUCAUAUUCCCAAGUUUGUUCCUCAAGAGGAGAAAUAUGAUCCUACUACUCCCAAGGUAAUAAGCUCACAAGAUGUCCUUCUACCACAAGACCACAAGGACAAGGGAAAGCUUCAAGAGGACAUUGACUCAUUUGAAUAAGAGCCCCAAGCCAAGGUUGAGUGGGUUCCCAAGGACACUUCUAGUACUACCUCGUCUAGUGCUACCACAACUCCAAGGAUUCCCAUCAAAGUGAUGUGGGUCCCCAAGAGGAAGAACUAGAAAGUUCUUGAGGGGUGACUUUGCCAAUGAAUUUCACUCCCAUUCAUUUUGGCAAGAACUAUGUGCAAUCAACCUCAACGACAUGCAUUGGUUCAAGGAGUCACACAUUCCCUCAAAGGUGAUCAAGGGACAAGGUAAUCAAUGAAUCUUUGGACAUCACUUCCCAUGUACAUAGGUAUCUUUGUGUUUGUUCCUUUUGCUUUGGGACUAACCCAUGUAGGUGAGAAGAGUAAGAAACAACAAUGAUUGCUCCCAACUCGAGAUGAUCUUCAUCAACAUUUAGAAUCGACCACUACUUCACCUACUUGAAGUCUUCUACGACAAAACCCAAGGUUAGUUUGUCCCUCUUAGGGGGGAUGUGAUAUCAAGGGGGAGCUUCACUCUAAAUCUUGAGUAUAAGCAUCUCCUAAAGAUAUGAACACAUUAAUGCUUUAUGUAAAAGUGGUAACCCCACUUGUGCUUAAACGAUGAGUAUGACCUAUGAUCAAGUAUUCUUACUUGACUCCUCAGUCAGUAUAUUCAUAUAUAGAUGACUUCGUCAUCGCCAAAGUGCUUGAUAGAUGCUAGGAUGUUUGUGCAUGUUCAUCAUGGUUUCAUUUGAAAUCUUAUUGUGUGAGGAUGUUAGUAUGCAUAUCCUUUCUCAUUCGAGGACAUCCAAUUGUUGCUAUUUGGCUUAUGAUUUAUCUUUUGCCAAUUGGAUAGACAAGAAUGCCUAGGACCCUUCUUUAGCUAUCUAGGCUUUCUCUUCUCAAGUUCUAUUCAUGCUUCAUCACAAAACUUGAACAAGCACUUCUCGAUCCCUCUGUGUGAAUGAGCACUCGGAGUUCCGUAUCGACAAACGCUGCAUUCCAAAACCUCUUUGUGAAUCUCAGUGCAACCAACCCCACAAUAUCGGUUCCACCGAAUAACCAAAGCUGAUCUAGGUUUUCAAUCUCGGUACCAUCGAUACCACCAUCUCGGCUUCACCGAGUUUCCAUGUCAACUGACAACAUAGGAACUCGGUGGCACCAGAACCUUAGUAUCAGUGACAUCGACAGUGAUGGGUAUAUAUCCUGGCAGACCCGACGUUUCGAAAUUUAAUCCUCAAACGUUUUGUUCCCAACUCCAAGAAGCCGCACAAGGACCCUUGGUUAUCGCCUUUGCAUCCCUGAGAGACUCUGCCGUUGGUAAUCGCCGCCGACGAUUGAAUCAUCGCCGCCGUCGUUGCCUAGCGAGUUCAUCACCGACUUAGUUUAUGAAUCCGAACCCUCAUGUGCUCCUUUAUCUGAUCCACGCGCAUUAGGGCACCCCAUCCACAAUCAACAGUUUCUAAUCUUCCUAUUCCACAAGAAAUCUCCAUAGAUUAGAGAAUGAAGGAAAAUUGGAUCCGAUCUCCCACAACAUGUAUCUCAGUGAGACCAAGUUGGUAAGAUCGGUUCCAUCGAUUUUUGUUUUAGGGUUUCUAAGAACCACUCUAGUGAGACCAAGUAGCUCUUUUCGAUUACACUGAAAAGACUACCCAAGUUUCUGUUAUGCAAGUGGUCAGUCUCGGUGACUCCUUAAAACCCAACCCGGUUCUACCGAUAUUCAUUCUGAAGUAGACCAUACACUAAGUUUUUGAAUUCAAAUUUUGAAAAAUUAUGUGUUUUGUGAUGCUCAACCCUUGUGAUCUUCUAUAUCUACUUCACAUGGUUGCUUGUCUGUUGAUUUGCUGGUGUGUUUGUCUGUUUUAUUUCAAAGAUGUCAGGUUGUCAGGACAGCCAGAACAACUUCACUCAAGAUAGUGUUGAGAUGGAUUCAUGCACUAGUUCUGAGAGGUCCCCUUUUGAUCCAGGCACCCCCAUCUCCCAUGGUUUGCCCAAGGCUGCCACAAGGCCCAGAAGGAAACUGAAUUCUGAUGAAGAAGAUUCAGACUUUGUUCCUGUUGAGUCUGACGUCCAAAAGCAGAAAGAGAAGCCUGUUGUCAAGAGAGCUGUUAGGAAGGUGUACUCUAAACCUUCUGACAUGAGAGCUGCAGAGUUUGCAAGGCAAGGGAUGACACUUACCCUUGAGAAACCUCCUAAGAAGACAGGUGUGAAGAGAGUCAGGAAGAGGAUUAUUCAUGUCAUUGGUAGACAAACUUCCAUGUAUGAAGACUGAGGAGAAACUGUUGCCGCUGAGGAGGAGGAAGUACCAUCUAAUGCGCCUCCUACAAAGAAGAAAAAGAAGCUUAUGGCAGGUACUAUGAAGCCUUCUGCUCGAAAGCCUUUAGAUCCAAAGAAGCCCGUAGCUCCCAAGAUGACCACAAAGGACAUACCCCCAGCUGCUAAAGAGAAACGCACUGCUUCCAGAGACUUUGUUGCAAAGGAAGAUGUUGAGAAUGCACCUAUUCUCAUGAAGUUAAGACCUCAUUUUCCAUUUCACAAUGAGUUUCAUCCAAUAGCUGAAGACAUGAAGAAGAGAAGAGAUGCCAAGCUAAAGAAGUGGAGAGCUAUUGAUCCUUAUGCUGUGAGGAGAAGGACUGCAGCUGAUCCCAGGUUUCAUACAAGAGAACAACAAGACUUCUAUGAGACAGUUCUGUAUGACAAAUGUCCAGCAGUUAGUGACAUGAGAUAUGUCGACUCGAAUUAUAUCAAAGCCAAUGAAUAUUUCUUUCCCCAUGUGAGAGAGAACUUCAAUCUUGUUGACAUUGAAGAUUUGUUGGUAGAGAGAUAACUGCAUGGAAUGAUGAAAUGAUUAUGCAAUUCUAUUCAAUAGUUCAUUUCUAUUCAGAUGGCACAAUUUUCUGGAUGACUGAUGACCAUAGAUAUGAAGCCACAAUUGAAUAAUGGGCUACUAUCAUUGCUGCUCCAAAGUCACGAGUAGAGGACUUGGAUGUGUACUCAGAACCUAAGAAGAAUCACAACUCUAUGGCCAAUAUGUACAAGCGAGUGCCAAAUGACGUCCUACCAUCUCACAAGCUUGGGUCUAUCUAUUCCUUGCAAGCUGGGAUAACCUCUACCAACACUAUCUUCAGGCAUACCCUGAUACCCAAAUCAGGUGAUGACAAAAUGAUUAGAGGCUAUUCCAUCAAUAUGCUACAUCAUUUAGACACCGACGCUCGCUUCAAAGUCAUUGAUUAGAUUGCUAAGACUAUGCGGAUAUGCACCAUACAUUCAUAUGCUCAUCAAUGCCGAGAUUGGCAAGCAUGCAUAUCAGCUUGAUCGUCCUCAUUUUCCACUUCAGCCAGAGUUCAAGGACAAUUAAGAUGUGAUGGAUGACACUCAUCCAAGCUCAGCGACAUCUAGAGAGGCUACAGAGGCAGCUGCUGCAGAGGCCGCUAAGAAUGCUCCAGCUCCACCACUAAAGCUUAAAACUAGAGAGGAACAUAUGUCGUUCUUGGUCAGCAUCAUUCGAGGGAUGGAGAAGAAUAUUUUUGAGAUUCUGCUAAACCAAAAGAGCCAAGAGAGGAUCGUGGAAACAAAGUUUCAUGACCUGGAUCUGAAGGUUAAGGAGUUGACUACUAUAGUCAAGCAACUUCAGCAUGAAGUUGACUCAGUGCAGAUUCCACGCUCAAAUGAUGAAGAUGAUGAUGAUGAUGAUGAUUCACCUCGUCGUACUACCAAACGUUUCUCGACGCAGACCAGGUCAGCAGCUGUGCCAGUACCAGAAGAUAGACCGUCUUCAUCACCUGAAGCUUCAACUCCUGCUCUAUCACCUCUAGUUUCUACACCUCCAGCUCCUGCUCCAACGAUGUCAUCCAAAGCCUUCAUUGAUGCUCUUUUGUCUACUCCAACAUCUGCUACCGGAGGAGAUCAUGCCCGGAGAGAAGCUUAGGUUAGAUCUUUGAACGUUUUGGUACUUGUUGCCAAAGGGGGGAGAAGUGUAUAGAUCAAUAGGGCUUCGGGAGAGGGAGAGCUUUUGACUUUAUAUGCUCUCAUUUUCAAAACUUUAUUUGCUCUCUUGGAUGACAUUAUCUUCUUAGAUGUGUGUUUGAUCAUAUGCUUUGAUUGUUUAGUGCUACCAUGUUAUUACCUCUGAGCUAUCCACAUCAUGAUCAUUCACUUGUUUUUGGUGCUAUGUGCAUUGCUGUUCAUUCUUAUCUUUUAUGCACACCACCAAGUUGUAUGUGACAUGGAAGAGUAACCCAUAUUCCUAAUCGAUCGUGCAUUUGCAUUCAAAUGCAAAUUUAAAAAUAAUGCACAAAUUUAGGGGGGAGCUCUUGUUUUUCACAUACCUCUCAAAGCGUCGAUGCUAAUCAUUGAUUAUAUCUUUUGACGAAGCUUUGAUCUAUUUGUUGUCAUCAAUUACAAAAAGGGGGAGAUUCAAAGCACAAUUGCUCCCUAAGGUGGUUUUGGUAAUUAACCACAACACAUGCAUCAUUGGACUAAUGCGUAUAUUCAAGUAUAUUUCAGGAAACUUCAAAGUAGCUUUGUGUGGCACCCCGAUUCAACGAAUCGGAUUACCAGUGUUUCCAACCCAGAGAUCAAGUCUUCUGGAAACACUCAACAACUUGGAACAGAACUGAACUGACUUUAUUGAUAGAAUAAGAUGACAGGUACAUAUCUUACAAUGAUAGCGAGGCGAAAGGCACCCUGGGUGCUGCAACAGUAUCUACAUUAUUUAUGAGGCAUAGUGGGGCCUCGAAACUACUAAGUACUUCUACAGCGUAGCGGAACAUAGCGGCAACUCCAUACACACGGACACUUCUGUGGACACUCCCUACUACGCAUUAUCAGGACCACCGUCCUCGGCUUCUCCUGCAUCUGGCAGGAUAUGGUUGGUGAGUACUUGGAAUGUACUCGCAAGCUCAUAAUAACCAAGUAAUGCAGCAAACAAUAGCAUGGCAACACAUUAGGAAUAAUAUCACUUGGCUUUAUAAUAUCCACUUACUCAUGUCCGGGGUUGUCUCACAACCACCGGAAUGCCUAUCAAGCAUCUCCAUUCAACUGAAGGGUUCCUCCAUCAUUACUAACAUCCACAUGCUUGACCAUCUACUGAGGUCUGGUCGGGCUAUCCAAUACCGUGGACUCAGCUAUUCGAAUAGAUUUUACACUCUACAGAGGUUGCACACUUUACCCACACUAUGGAGUACUGACCUCGUGAUCCCAUUCGGGUGGACCGACAUUACUCCAAUGAAACUUUCCUAUCCUGUGACUCUCUCAUUGUAUCCCCGGCAACCACUCCCUUCCGGAGUCUUGACCUGGGUGGCCCUGUGUCCUCAUGACACCUGCCACCGUCGUGGCCAAACAAAACUGUCCCAACCGGGGACGGGCCCAACUCAACUUAACUGGGCUCACAGGGUUAUCACCGCCUACCGGGCCAAGGUAGCACGCAUGCAUAACCCUCCCUCUUUGGGGAUAUCGGUGAAAGAUCACGUUGACAAUCCAAGUCACGGCCUUCCCAUACCGGCAAGAUGUGGUUGUACGAUUAUGCACGGACAGGUGACUCAUGAUCAACCACUAAGCCAUGGUAACCAUAGUGAUUUAUAACAGUAAGCACAUAUUCCUAUAUGACUGUUUAUUAGAUGAUUAUUUCCUAACAAGUCAAGUAAGUAAAAUGCAUGAAGAUGUGAGUUAUGCUAUGCAAAACUACAUCACAUGGAUAUGAUGGCUUUCGUUGAUCAGUGGGGUUGUUCAAACACUCCUGGUCUUCAAAGUUUCCCUCUGAAAAUAUGUUUGAAGUAGCAAAACUAAAGAAAAGUCAUUUAAUACCUUUUUUAUUCAUUAGAAAUUCUAUGUGUGUGGGAAAAAUACUAAAAUUUACCAGAUUGUAUAGAAACUCAAUACCAAGUCAAUGCAAAAAGAAUCAAGUGAUUUGGACUUGUAAAUAAAAGGAUUUAAAUGGUCAAAGUUUCUAUUUGAAUCUGGACUUAAUAAAAGAAAAGAUAUUCUGGCAGGGGGCCAGGUCGAAGGUGUAAAGUGGAGGGGCGCCUCCACUUACCGCUUCGGCCGCUGGCCAUAGCCGCUGGCAGGUGGGGCCUGCCACGAGAACAGAGAGGGGGAGGAGGGGAAAAGAGGCGAGGCGGCCUUCCGACGACGGUCGCCGGCGAGUGAGACGGUGGCGACGCCUGGGAUCGGGCGGAAUGGAACGGGCGGUCGAUGACAAGCACACACGUACCCGCAGCUUGGCGAGAGGUGGACAGACGACGUCAUCCCCUUCUUCUCUGGCGGUGGCGGCUUCGGGUGGUCGUCGGAGACGAGGAUUCCGGCAGGGAAAAGCUUGGGCAAGGGGUCGAGAAGCACCAGGGGAACUUCCCGAACUCGACGGUGGGGUUGAUUAGGCUUUGGAGGAUGGGGUUGGUGCUGUCGACGGUGAGGCUGCAGGCAGCGGAGUUACGGCGAUGUUCAAGGCCAGAGGGCCUCUAGGCCUUGGCUCGCUCUUCGGGAGGUCAAUAGGGAGCAACAGGAGGGAUGUUGAGAGCUCGAAGGGGUCGCGCACUCCUUUAAAUAGGCCGGCGACGAGCUCGGCGAUCUCUCCCGAAGCGGCGAGGAUAAGCUCAACCACAGUCGUCGGAGGGUUGAGGUGGUCGUCGCGGAGUGCGCUGAGGUGACGGAGGAGAGCAGGGAGGCGAUGGGAUGGCUCCUGGCCAUUAAGGGCUCGCGGAUGAGAACAGUGGCCGGAGCCGUCAGUUCGGUCCUGUGGCUUAGCUUGGCCAGGAGCGGUGGCGGCAUUCUUCGGCGACCUAGCACUUUCAAGAGGUGCCACACGGCUGCCAGGGACCUCGUCGGUGCUCAGGACAAGGAUGGGGCAACGAAUGAUGGCUCGAGGCAGCUCGGCUGUCACUGGAGUUGCGCAGAGCACGCUCUAUGGCAUGCAAGCACCGUGAUCACCAUGGUUGUGGCCAACCUCAUGUCACGCAGGCCUAGAGACCUUGUCCAUUGCGCCGACCAGCCUCUCUUUAGUCACCAUCCACUGCUUGAUUGAUCAGUCACGCUCUCCUGCGACUUGGAACAUCAACAAUAGUUUCUGUCUACAGACUUUGGGUGGUUUUAGAGCUCAACUGGGUUGGGGUUCGAGUAAGAUAGGAUGUCUGGGCGGAUCAACAUAGAAAAGACUCCAAGCUGGCAAAGUUUGGCUAAGUUUGAAGAUCAAAUGAAUAUAGUUCCUUUGAAAACCAUCUUUCUGGUCCAGAACACAAAUGAGCUCCUAGCACUCAAUUGCAAGCUUUGCUAUAAGUGAAACUUGGUGGGGAAGUGUCAUUUGGUAGUGCACACAUGCCCAAAAAUUUGUAGCUCCAUUGUGCACUCCUAGCUAGCACUUCCUUCACAAGGGUUCAGUUUUAGCACAAACUUAGCAGAGUUUUCCUGCUCAAAAUUUGUAUUGGACCAUUGGAUGUUUUUACAUAUCGGAACCAUUGGAUGUUUUUACAUAUCGGAACUAUAUAUAUUUUUACAUAUCGGAACUAUAUUUUUGAAUAUUUUGAAAUCAUAUGGUGUUGAGAAGAUGUUGUAAAAGUUUUGGCUCUUAAAGCUCAUCCAACCUAUAGGUUGCUUCACAACCCAUAGUGAUGCCAUAAUUCCCAAAAAUAGAAAGAGAAUUAUUUGGAGGAAUAAAAUAUUGCAAAUAAAUCUCAGAAAGCUUUUGGUAAGAAGCAAAUUGUAAUGGAGUCAAUCUUUCUACGAGAAAAUUGACCGGGCUCAAGAUUCAUGACUAUCAUGUAUGGAUUGAGCGGUUAAUGCCGGUCAUGGUACGAAGCUAUGUCCCCAAGCGUGUCUAGAGAAUGCUUGCAGAGGUAAGACAUUUCUUUCGCAUGCUCUAUGCUAAAGAAGUAUUCCCAAUGUGAUUAGACAAUUGUAUAAGAAGACACCUAUCAUGGGUAUAAGUCUGACAGUAGAUGAAUAGGGUACGAAAGGAUGGGCAGAGCCUUAGCUACGCCGAGGUUGUAUGAGUUCAUGCCCCUCUACGGUGGAGGUAAAAGCCCUACGUCUCAGUGCUCUUGGGAGCUUGAUGUCGAGUGGAAUAUGGUAAACAGUGAAUUGCCAACCCCUGCACCAGUGGGGAAGGGCGACUUAUAUAGAGUGCGCUGCCCUUCACAACGGUUCGGUGCACAGGGCUGGAGCAGUGGCGAUUAAAUAUCUACAUUACAGGUAACGUAUGCCUUAAAUGCUAAUAAAGGUACAUGAAAACGUAUGACCGUUGCCCUCCAGGGGGGUUACGAUGUACAGAGUGGAAUCCAGUCGGUAAGUUUGAUACGCUCUGAAUGCUCAUCUCCGACUGGAUGAUGGAGGAAUCGUCACCGACUGGAUGAUGGGAAGUCCUUAAUUCAGUCGGAACUGACUAAGGGCCUUGUCCCUUAUGAAGGGUAGUCCUUGGGUAGGACCUAUAGGGCAGGCCUAUGACCCUACCCUAGGACUAUAACCCCAUAAACACCAAAGUUGAUAUCGAAGCUAGAGAAGAUUCUUCUGCCCGACUUCUUUACUCGGAUGACAAAUCUCAUUUUGCACCUCGCGAAAGAGGUAUUGUUUUGGGGCCCGGUGCGGAAUUGUUGGCAGUACGGUCCCAAUAUAUAGAACAAGCAUCUCUGAAACAAAUGUGGAAACAAAGCUAAGAUUGAAGCUUCCAUAGCCGAGGCAGUUUACCUUGAGGAGGUGUCAGACCUCAAGGCAUCGUACUAUCCAUACCACGUUCCCACUCUACAUAAUAAGCUGUGUCGACACAAUACGGAAGAGCCUAUGUAUAAACCCAAGUUUUAUUUAUUCAACGGGAAAGGUGCCAAGGCUGGGGGCUCGAAAUCUUAUAACCUGCCAGAACAAGAGUGGGAGGACAUCAUGUUCCAUGUCUUGCACAACAUCAACGAAGUUGAGGAUGAGUGGAUGAGGUAAUACCACUACACCAUUAAUACCUUUAUUUCUUGCACAAUAUCAUAUUCUAUGUUCACUUAGUCUCGACCUAAACACCACUUUUCUUCUUUUAGUCAAUUCAUUGAUGAGGAGUGGACGGUAAUGAUUCCUCCUAGUGAGGCGGAGGCACUUACUCUUCUAUGACAUGGGAACCCUGGAAGGAAACUUUUGUUGCUUGGUUCAUGGCGAAAGUAAUUUUUCACAUUCCCCUAUUAAAUACCUAGUUGAACAUUUAUUAGUUAGCCAAACUAAUGCACCCAACAAUUUCAAUUAAAUAAUACCCAACAUACGCCUUCUGUUGGUUUCGUCGAAGUUAAACAAUCAAUUGUCUAUGCCGGAGCCGAUCUCUUUAUUGCGGCUACCCAAGUCACACGAGUUUAUUAUCUGCCUUACCCAUGCCAGGAAUAGUACCUAAAGGGUUGGGAAGUUGUGUUCCAGGUGUCGCCACAUGGUAAGCUACCGGACUCGAACGAUGACGAUUAUUACAACAUUAACCCCAUGACAUACGAGGGAGUGUUCUUUUAAGAGCAACCCCAUGAUGAUGGUGAUGUGGUCAGAAGCGAUGACGCUGAUGCCUUUGAUGAUGAUGAUGAGGUGUGGAUCCAAACGAUGACGAUACACAUAAUGAUGGUGAGGCCAUUGUUAAUGAAACAACAUAAUUAUGCUAGAAAAGUUAAAUGAAGACACUGACAACGAGGAAGAGCCUCCACCUCCAUCCGACAAUGAAGAUGAUAUGUGUGAUAGUGAUGAUUAGACCGGUCGAGCUAUUGGUUACAACAUUGACGAUUCGUAUGGGUUCUAGCACAUGUACGUUUCUAUGUUUUUUCUAUUAAUGUCUUUUUUCGAUGCAACCAUACUUAUUUAUUAAUGUCUUUUUUCUAUGGUCUUUUCUUCGUUAUUAGUAUACUAAUUGUUUAUUCUCUUUUCAAUGGAGGUUUUCUAAGCAUGGGAAAGGGCAAGGCCGAUGGCACGGGUUUACUAGCCAAACUCACCUCGAUGUAUGGACCCCGCAUGGUUCCAUCCCGACUACUUGAGGAUAACUCCUUACAGGGAGGUUGAGGGAGAGGUGCCCCUAGAGGUGGAGGUUGUGCAGGGAGAGCCCCUAGAGGAAGGCAGGGCCGGGCCUAGAAACAACGCCCCCUCACCAACUUAGGUAUGUCGUUUACAAGGCCCUCCUCUAGUGAGGUACCCUCUACCGAGGAGGAGGAGGUUCACGAGGAGGUUGAGGAGGAGGAGGAGGUUCGCGAGGAGGUUGAGGAGGAGGAGGAGGUUCACGAGGAGGUUGAGGAGGAGGAGGAGUUUGGGGAGGGGUGGAGGAGGAGUUUGGUGGUGGCAGGUAGGGGGUUGGCAACAACAAGGGGUGGCUACGUGGUGCUGCAAACCUCCCCCCGAUCUUGCUACCGAGGAGCAGAAGUGGCCCAUUGAGCGAGCGGGGAAAGAGUAAGUGCCCCUUAAGCAUAUUUUAAUUCUUUUGCUUGGAAACAUGCUCAUAUUUUCUAUCUUUUCUAGGGGCUGGACAGUUCCUGAAAAUGUUCGUGUUCCAAACGGUAUCAUCACUAUCUUGAUGAAGGAAUAUUGGUCGGGGUUGUUCACUUCGGACAAAGACAAGCACCCGGAGCACCGGGUUUUGGCCACGAACUGGGACCACUACGAAGCGGCUCCCCACGUGGAAUUUGUUACACAUGCUAAGGCCGUGAUAACAAAUGUUUUGGUAAGUCCUCUUCAAAAGCAUGAGUCUUGAGUUUCAUUCAUAGUUUAUCAUCGAAUGGUUUAUCUCAUGGCUUCUUCCACUCUGGUUGUAUGACUAACUGUAGAAAUACUAUCCAGAUAUUGAGGAGAAAAAGCCCAUUGCCGACAAGUUGUUCCUGAGAGUUGCAAGGAAGGAGGCCUGCCAGAUGCAGUAAGAGGUGUGCUGGGUGGCCAUCUCGCAAUUUUAUUAUGACUAUCGUGACAUGAAGAUGCCCAAGGAAUAUGGGCGGAAGGAGCAUCUUACCUUGACUAGGGAGAAGUACCUGCUGUAAGUAUAACCGACUUUUCAUUCCAACAUUUGUGGUAAAUUUCAUUGUUUCGUGUCGACAUGCCAUUAUGCUUUCAUUAUGUAAGUGUCAGGAACGACACCUAUGGAAACUCGAGGAGUACCUUGAUCGUCCGGCGGGGAGAGAGAGGUACAACAUCGAGAGCGGAGCUAACGAUCAACACCGGCAAGGUCUUUCACCCAGGUUCGGACCGCUUGGCGCGUAAAACCCUACUCCUUCUUAGUUUGUAUUAUGUGCUUACUGUAGGAUGACUUGCUACAGUAACUUAGUGGGUGAUUAGGAAGUCUCCAAUCCCACAAGGGUCCAACCCUUAAGAAUGAGCCUUGGGUCUCCUUUUAUAGGUAAAGGGGUCACCAACAGUGUGCUCACGGGGUGAAUAGUGAACAGUAUUCACCGCUGUACUUCUUCGGUGGCGUCAGGGACAGGAAAUGCCUUGUUUGACCCCUGGCCUGCCACAAGGUGGUCGCGACACGUAUCCAGGUGAAUCGACACCUGGGUCUUGUGCUGGCAAACGAGGGAUGUGCUGGAGCGGUCGGAUUGUGGUAGAAACGGGGGAGGACACCUGGAGAGUGAAGGGGGCUUGCUUGCCUGGAGCCUCUGUCGGAUGACUUGGUCACCUUCCUCGCAAGGAGGGCUUGCCAAGGGCUUGGACACUUUCCCAGCAAGGAGGGCUUGUCGGGGGCCUCGCCAGUCUGUGCGAGCCUUCCCGGCAAGGGAGGCUUGCCGAGGUCUUGCUAAUCUUCGGGGGUCUUCCCGACAAAGUGGGCUUGCCGGGGACUUGGGGAUCUUCUCGGCAAGGAGGUCUUGCCGGGGACUUGCAUCUGGAGCCCUUGUACUCCACGCCCCGCGAAGAGAGGGAAGGUCGUGGCCUUGGUGGGUCUUGGAUUGCCUUGCUGCUGUUCUUCCCGGUGCACUACCGUCAUGGGCGUUGCUGAUGCCCGUGCAUAAGUCUAGGGCACAAGGGACCCCAGUCUCUAGUGCACCGAUAGGAGCCCCCGGGCCUGGGCCACGCACGCACGCGAAGUGUUGGUGGGCCAGGCCCAAAGUAGUGCACGUGCUUCUUUGGAAGGGGGACUCUGUAGCUUCAGAGCUGUUGUAGACGACCCUUCCCCACGCUGCGCAUUGAAAGCUCGAAGUGGGGAGGCAUGCGCACAGUGGCCAAGGUGUCCACGCGCGCGCUGAGCUAUUGGUUGGGAACGCAAGUGUCGACCGGUGCGCCUACCUUUCUUCUCAUAAGAAAGGAAAACAAAGCCACACAAGCCUUUCAUUCCUUCCCAGUUCUUUUCAAGCUCGAAAACGUCGCCCCCUCCUUUCUCCCGCUAAAGUUCCCUCCCCACCUCCACCUUUGCCCCCGAGGCCGCGCUUUGGACGGCCACAGCUUCCGCCGUUGCCAUGGCGCCUAAGGGAACAGAAGGCAAGAAGGGGAAACCUGUCAUCACAGAGAAGGAGUUGGCGAAGAUGCGGAAGGAGCUCGCCUAUUUUCCCCCGGGGCCCGACGCGUUCUUCCUGAAGGAGCACUAUCAGCAAAUGUGGGCGGCCAAGAGGAAGGCGCAUCCGGCCACUCAAGUGACCCCGGAGAAGUUGGCGGUGCUCCAGAAAAGUAUCCCUUCUUCGUCGAUUUCUUUAUUGCGAGCUCUGUCUGCCCUUCUCCGAGUUCUUCAUUGACAUCAUGAACACCUAGGGCUUCCACCUUCUGGAUUUCACGCCGAAUGUGGGGACAUGCAUGUCUAUAUUAGCGCAUCUCUCCGAGAAUUUUGUCGGGAUUACCCCCAACACCGCCCUCUUCCGCCACUAUUUCAUUCCCUGCAUUCAGGGAGGGGAUGCUCUUUCGGGCUCCAUCACUUGGAUCCCGUGGAUCGGAUGCAAGGAGAUGUAUCUGGAUGGGGCCCUUCGGGAGAAGUGGGAAGAAUGGCGUGGGAGGUGGUGGUGGAUCCUCGAGGAGAAGUAUCUGCCCUUCUGCGAGCCCAGGACCACCAAGAUCGACUCCCACGACAAGCAUGGGAGUGACCUCGACCUCGAUCAUAUGAAACUGACUGUCCCUAUCAACAGGAUCCUGCGUCUCAGGGACGCAGGGCUAACGAUAGAGAUGGUGGGUGCCCACUUUAUCCGCACGCACAUCGCCCCCCUGCAGAAUAGGGGAGGAAGGCUAGCCUCAGCCUUUGUGAACGCGCGAACAUCCUACGACUGUGGACUGGUUACAACAACAAUCUGAUGGUGAUGGGGCAUGCCUUCAUUUGCCAGAAGCUGUUCAAGUCGGACAUGAGGCCUCGGCUACCGCAUGGUGUCGUACCCUUGUGCAACAAUUCUGCCCUGAGUUACUCAUGGCAAGGAUGCCAGAGUGUAAUGCUCAUGGCGUGGUUGCGACUUGGAUCGAGCCAGGGAGGAGGAUGUCUUGUGCUUCUUUGACUUCUUGUCGGAGAAUCCCAUUAGAGAAGACACCGGCCUCGUCCGGGAGUACACCGACGAGGAGGUGGCGUAAAUUGCCAGCCGGGCCGAGGAGCAGGCCCUUGCCGAGACGGUAGGGAGCGUCGGCUUCUAUGACGAGGGGGCGCCCGAUGAGGAGGCGCAACAGGACAAGCAGCUCGCCGGGGAGCCCAUCAGCUCGGUGACCGGGGGCCCUUCAAAGGGACGGGCGCCCGACGCAGAGGAGGAGGAGGAGGAAGAGGAUGAGUCUCUAGCUCGCCGAAGGUCCAGGCGAGUGCUUCGACACGCCGACUCCAACAUCCCCGUCUGGCAAAAUCCACCCGCUGUGCCCGGCAAGCGUCCCGGAUCCGCGUCUCCUCGGGCGGAUGCCGAGGAGGACGUGGAUUUUGAUUUGUCUGCCUUCAGCUCAGGGGAGGAGGAGGAAUAGGUGUUUGACUUUUACCCCCUUCGAACCCCUCACCUUGUGUUCUUACUCAUCAAGUGUCGGUUCUUGUUCUCAGGGACACGGAGAUGUUGUCCCAGAGGAUGGUGAAGAAGGCCAAGGUGUCGGCGGGCGGUGGUCCUUCGACGAGCGCCUCAGAGGCGCCACCGGCAGCUUCCACCGCUAUGAUGUCGAGCCCCCGGGAGAGCCCCCAGCGGGAGUCGCCAAGGCCUGUGACGCCCGAGGACGAGCCCCCGACAACUGAUGUUGUCGGGGAGGGGACAACUGCCCCUCACCAGCUAAACGAGGGUGAGUGCCCUGGCAAGGGACGUCUAUAAGUUUCUCCACCCGUCUUCUUUUCUUUAUCUUGUACCACAGGCUUCUCCUCGGUGGAAGAGAUGAAUGUCGACUUCAUCAUCGAGGAGACUGCGGGGACGUGGCCGCUGAGGACGAUGAGGUUGCCGGGAGCGAGUCUGCUGCCGAGGCGCGGGAUCGGGCCACCCGGGAACCAAUAGAGGAGUCCACCGAGGUUCCCGGGGCGUGCAUCGGUGAUCCUCCUACCGUUGAAGGUUUGGGGGCAGCACUGGAUGAGGAUCCCCAUUUUAUCGACGAGAAUGCUGGUGGCGACCAGCUUCCCACGCCAGGGCCUCCGCCAGCAAGUGAGGAUGCUGGUAGAGAGUCGGUACAUCAAUCCGCCAGGGUGUGCCGUACCAGGAUAGCCUUCGAAGGGGAGAGCUUUGGCGCCGAAGUCUCCACCAGUGCCGGGCUUGAGACCGUGGAUGGUUCGGGGGCCUACGGCAGGAAGCUCAGCGAAGAGCAACUCUUCUAGUCCAUGAGGGACAACGUCAGCCAGCUCCAGGUCAUUUACCAGGCCCAGAAGGAGAAAUUGGACUCCCGAAUGACGUACGUCGAGGCAGCACGGGAGGCCUUCGAGAAGCGCUUCGAGGAGACGCGGGCUCACUUCGCCGAGGCUCACCAAGAGCUGAAGGUGGCUCACGAAAAGCUCAGGGCCGAGCAGGACAAGGUCCUCCCGAAGUCGUCUGACAUCCGGAAGGAGGAGGAAGAGGCUGGGCGCCAUAUCUCCGACGAGGACGCUCGCCUUAACGUGGUUUGGAUAAGCCUCAAGUCUCACGAGAAGGCGCUCGAUGGCAGGCUCCGUGCAAAGGACGAAGAAGUUGAGAAGCUCGUGGCGCGGCGUACCCAAGAGCUCGUGGAUCAGCAUAAGGACGCCCUUACCGCCCAGGCCUCGGAGCAUGCCGGCAAGUUGUAGGAGGUUGUCGGCAAGGCUGCCAACGCCGAGGCUUCCAAGGACGAGCUUGCCGGCAAAUUGAAGAAGCUGGAAGAGGAUCUUGAAGGCCUCGGCAAGAAGAUCUCUGCCCUCACAGUAGAGAGAGAACAUGCUCUCUCUAACUUGGCGGAGACCCAAGCUGCCGUUUCUGACAAGAGUGAUCAACUCAGCUCCGCCAAUUCUUUCCUUGUCGCCUUGCAAGAUAAACUAGCUCGUCUAGAGCGGGCUCUUGAAAAAAGCAAGGCCCGCGAGGAGGUGUUGGCUCAAAAGCUCCUUGUCGUGACGAAGAAGCUCGAGGCCGCCUCUGCCGCCCGCGAAGGUUAUAUGCACGGCAUGGAGCUGUGGACAAAGCGUCUUGUCAACACCGCUGAAGGGAUCGCUGCACAGUUGUCUUCUAUGGAUCUCCAGGGUGAUGGUUAUUCCCCGGACCCGGAGGUGUCUUCAAGCGCCAAGCAGGCCCUGUUGUUCGAAAGCGUGAUUGACGCUUUGAGGUAGAUUCAGGCUAGCGAGGCAGCGCGCCUGGCGAACGAAUCACGAAGGUUGUGCCGGGGCGCCCUCCUUAAGGUCCUCACCAAGCUGCCGUACAAGAAUCCCGGCAUCUACCUCUCCGGGGCAUCUGCCAAAAGUUGCGAACCUCAAGGAACUCGAGAAUCUGGUCAUGCCUAUUGUCGACAAGGCGGAACAGAUCAAGAGGGUCGAGGGCCUGCGCCGGGAUUAGUUCUUCUGCUGCUGCGAUCCUCAACCGAGAGCUGUUGUGCCUUGUUUAAUACUGUUAGUAUUGUAAUAUACAUUUUUUAAUGAAUGCUACUUUCCUCCCUUGCUCUUUUUGCAUGGUUCGUUCUUAUGUUCCGCUGAGGGUUCGCUAGCUCAAUUGGCUUUGCCGCAAUUGCUCCCGAGGGGUGACUUUUGCCGGAGUCGUCUCUGCGGGCAAGGUGCUUUGCUUCCCCCUGGAUUUACCCAUAGGUUGUCGAGCACGCCCCCUAAGCGGAAAAGGGCACGCGAGGUGGGCCUCUUAAGCUAUCGGGCGCGCUCUGAGACAACGUUUAGGAGGUUUGCGGUGGAGUUCCGUCGCACACAAGUUUUCCAUACAAACGUGUGCUAGUGACAUUUAAAGGGGAGGGUCGUGUCUGCCCGAAGACUUACUUGAAGUUUUUGCAACUUAUCUUUAGGCUGCGGUUCUUCUUUCUGUCUUGGGUAGACCGUCCUUGUUCUUUCUAUUGUCGUGGGCAUCCCCACUAUCUUCCCCGUCGGCAAAUUUAUGCGCGGGGUUUCAUCUGUCUUUUAAGAAAAAGAAAGAAGAGAAAAUAUGUGUCGGGACUUGACAGUCCAUUAGCUCAGGCGUUUCACAAAAUCUUAGAUUAUGCAUGUAUAUGAUCUAACAUAGAAAUCUAAAUGAUGAUGCAGAACACUACGUUUUAUGCAACUCAGCACAGGGGCUUCGUGUGGCUUUGUACAGAGGUUCACAUGCAACUUCGGCAAGACUUGUACAAAAGGUGGUCCCAGGGAGGCCCAACAACCUUUCGCUAUGGGUAGAACUUUCGAAGAUUUUCAAUAUUCCAGGAGUUGCUCACCGGUGUGCCAUCUUCGGUCUCCAGGCGGACAGCUCCGGGCCUGGUGACUCGUACUACCCUAUAUGGGCCUUCCCACUUCGGCAUCAACUUGUUUGAAUUCUUGGCCGACUGAACGUGUCGAAGAACAAGGUCGCCUUCCUCAAGACUUCUGGCUUGCACCUGGUGGUAUGAUAGCGACGCCAGGCUUUCUCAUAACGAGUAGCUCGUACAGCUGCCCGAAUCCAGGUCUCCUCGAGGAUCACUGCGUCGUCUUGGCGCAAUUGCUCUUGCUCAAGCUCAUCAUAAGCGAGCACUCGGGAUGACCCAAAAGUGAGUUCCAUGGGAAGAACUGCCUCCGCCCUGUAGAUCAGGGAGAAGGGUGUCUGGACGGUGGCUCGAUUUGGUGUCGUUCUGAUUGACCAAAGAACCGCCGAUAGUUCAUCAAUCCAGUGCUUUCCAUGCCUCCCCAGCUUGUCAAAAGUUCUUGUCUUGAGCCCCCGGAGUACCUCGACAUUUUCUCUUUCAGCUUGACCAUUGCUCUUUGGAUGGGCAACAGAAGCGAAGCAUAUUAUGGUGCCGAGGUCUUGGGCGUAGUUCAUGAAGGCAUGGCUCGUGAACUGGGUUCCAUUGUCCAUGAUGACCGUGUUCGGGACUCCUAUAUGGAAGACAAUUCAUUUGAAGAACUUGACGGCUGACUGGGCAGUCACCUUUCUCACCGGCUCCACCUCUGGCCACUUUGUGAACUUGUCGAUUGCGAUGUAGAAGUACUCAAAUCCCUCGACAGCGUGGGGAAAAGGGCCGAGAAUAUCGAGCCCCCAGACCGAGAAUGUCAAGAGAGAGGGAUCGUUUGGAGAGCUUGAGCUGGCUGUUGAAGCUUCCUUGAAUGAAACUGGCACGCUUCACACUUGGUUACUAGUGCAGUUGCAUCGUGGAGGGUCGUGGGCCAGAAGAAGCCUUGCCGACAAGGGCUCUUGCCACUAUGUGGGAGCCACAUAUCCCCUCAUGUAUCUCGGCCAACAGCUUCACCCCUUUCUCAUGGGCAAUGCACUUCAGUUUCACACCGUUUAGUCGUCUUAUGUACAGAGCAUCAUCCACGAAUUGGUACAUGCUGGACUGACGGGCUACUCUUUCCGCUUCUUCCUGUCCUUCGGGAAGGUCCCCAUCCUGGAGGUACUCGACUAUGUGCUGCGCCCAUGCCGGAGCGUGAGGUUCGGCGCAAGGACUAAAGGCAUCUCCUCUGCCGGGAUGGUGUCUAUCCCGACAGGCUUUGUAUCUCCCCCGACAACUUCCUUUCCGACAAGGUCCUCGCCGGGGCCCUUUGGCAGGUCCGCCGUAAAGUACUUGCCAGAGUUUAGCCUUCUCCUCUAUUCCGGCUUGGUGGAUGGUGAUACAGAAGGUUGAGUUAGUCGUAGCAUGAAAGUUCCUGGUUCCACAUGUAACUUAAGGGCUGCGCACUUCGACAAUUCGUCGGCGAUGGUGUUUUCGGCGCGGGGGAUGUGCUCCGCAUGGAGACCAUCAAAGUGCUCUUCCAACUUACUCACUUUCUCAACAUAAGCUUCCAUCAAUGGGCUCUGGUAGUCCUUGUUGAUUUGCUGGACUACCAGUUGAGAGUCUCCCCUCACGAUGAGCUUCCUGAUCCCCAGAUCUGCCGCAAUUCUGGGGCCGGGAAGCAGCCCUUCCUAUUCUGCGGUGUUGUUGAUGGACUUAUCCCGGGGAAAGUACAUCUGGAUUGCGUACUUGAGGUGUUGUCCAGUAGGUGCAACUAGUAGCACACCGGCUCCAACACCUUGAAGUGAGAAUGCUCCAUCAAAGUACAUGAUCCAUUCUUGGUUGGAUCCCUUGCCCGGGAGGGUUGAUUCUGGUAUUUCUUCGUGUGGCGUCGGGGUCCAUUCGACAAUGAACUCUGCCAAAGCCCUGCUUUGGAUGGUCGACAUGCUUUCGAACUUGAGGCCGAAACUGGACAAUUCCAAAGCCCACUCCACCAUCCUGCCAGUUGCAUCGGAGUUCCGCAAAACCCUUGGCAGCGGAAAGCGGGUAACGACGGUGAUCUCAUGUGCUUGGAAGUAGUGGCGCGGCUUCCUCGAGGCCAUGAGAAGGCCGAAAAGCAGUUUUUGCACCCUGGAGUAUCUCGAUCUAGCCCCCUGCAGGAGGGAACUGACGAAAUAGACCGGGCGCUGCACCAUCUUCUUCUUCUGCACUAGCUCGCCUGUUGGAGGGGUUCCUCCUGAUCACCCCUGGAUUUUGCCGGGGCUCCUUGGUUGCCAGUGUGCGCUUCCUCAUUUGGUGGCGUCGCCUUAGCUGGAGUACCUUCGUCAUCUUCCCUCUCCGCCACCAAGGCGGCGCUAACCACCUGGUUGGUUGCCUCUAGGUACAGGAGCAGCGGUUCUUGUGGUUUGGUGCUACCACGAUUGGCGCAGAGGAAAGGGUAUCGCUUCAGGUCUUGUAGUGCUGUUUCUGCCUCGGCGAUCCACUCCAUUGGUCCCGCUUUCUUCAAAAUUUUGAAGAAAGACAAGGUGCGUUCGGCGGACUUGGAGAUGAACCUGCUCAGGGCGGCUACACAGCUGGCAAGGCAUCGCACAUCCUUGACACGCUUUAGUGCCUCGAUUUGUUCAAUGGUCUUGAUCUUGUUGGGGUUAGCUUCGAUCCCACGUUGAGACACGAAGAACCCGAGAAGCUUGCUGGCUGGAACACCGAAGACACACUUUUCAGGGCUGGGCUUGAGGUUAAUCUAGCGCAGGUUGGCAAAUGUCUCCUCCAGAUCUUGCACGAGUGUUGACCUUUCUUUGGUUUGAACCACUAUAUCAUCCAUGUAGGCUUCCAGGUUCCUAUGGAGUUGGGGCUCAAAACCAAACUGGAUCACCCUUGCAAAGGUGGAGCUGGCAUUCUUCAGCCAAAGGGCAUGCAUACAAAGUAGUACGUGCCACAGGGGUUGAUGAAAGAGGUUUUCUCUUCAUCUUCCUCGGCCAUGUAAAUCUGGUGAUAUCCUGAAUAGGCAUCGAGGAAGGACAACAGGUCACAGCCAGCGGUGGAGUCGACAAUCUGGUCGAUGCGCAGCAAGGGAAAAGGGUCUUUUGAGCAUGCUUUAUUGACAUAGGUUAAAUCGAUACAAAGCCGCCACUUUCCGUUUGCCUUGCGCACUACAACCGAAUUGGCCAACCAGGUGGGAUGGAUGACUCCCCUGACGAGUACCUCUGCUUCUAACUUCUUGAUUUCCUCUUCAAUUAACUCCUGCCGCUCCAAGGCUUUCUUCCUCACUCUCUUCUUGACCGGCCGCGCGUGGGGGCAGACAGCGAGGUGGUGCUCAAUCACCUUCCUGGGAACACCGGGGAUAUAUGAUGGUUGCCAUGCAAAAACAUCGAGAUUCGCCCGCAGGAAGGCGAUGAGCGCACUUUCCUAUUUGCUAUCAAGGGCAGAACUUUUGGUGAAAGUUCCACCCGUGCCGUCCUCUUAGGCGGGUACCUUCUUGAUUUCUGGUGGGGCAGCCUUGGACUUCUUGUUUCAGGCAGUAGAGGUUUCCCGGUCGUCUUCAACGACAGCAAGGUACUCCAGAGCAACGUGCUUGCCGGGAUCAACGCGGGAAGCCCUCUUGUCGGGAUUCUUCUCUCUGGGGGACAGUGCCUUGGCGGCAGGCGUUGCCACUAUCUUCUGGUAGAGGCAGUUGGUGCACACGAGCGCAUCCUUCUUGUCGGCGUUGAUGACGAUCACGCCGACUAGCCUGGGCAUCUUCAGGGUGUUGUAGGCGUAGUGGGAAGCCGCCAUGAACUUAGCUAGUGCAGGACGCCCGAGGAUCCCGUUGUAUGCGAACGGAUUGUCAGCAACGUCGAAGACGAUCUUCUCCGUUCGGUAGUGGUGGUCACUGCUGAAAGUCACAGGCAACAUGAUCUUCCCCUUCGGUUGAAUCUUCCCUAGGUUGAUCCCUUGGAACGCUCCCUUUUCCUCAAGAUCUUCGUCGGGGAUCUGUAACCUUUGGAUCGCGUCGGGGGAGAUGAGGUUCAGACCUGACCCGCCAUCUACCAACAUAUUCAUCACCUUGAGGUUGCGGAUCGUUGGCGAGACCAACAACGGCAAACAUCCGACCGUUGUAACGUGGUCUGGGUGAUCCUCUAAAUCGAAGAUGAUCGGUGUGUGUGACCACUUCAAGGGCCUAUGAGUGCCGAGGGAGGGCUCCGCCGCGCUCAUCUCACGCGCCCACUUCUUCAGUUGGCAGUGGGAAGAGUGAAGCGAUGCCCCUCCAUCGAGGCACAUCAUGUCUGUGGCCUUCUGGAACUCGUGGUCACUAGAGUCGUCGUCUGGGUAGUCUUCAUCCUCAUCUUCCUCCUUCCUUUCCCGCGCUGGUGCGGGCUUGACCUUCUUGUUCUUGAACUUGCCAGGGGGACCCCCUUCGCCGCCCUUCUUCCUGCCCGAUCCUUCGCCACCAUCUUGGGCCUUUUCUUUGUCGCGUCUGUGGUACUCUGCCCUCUGUUUGUUGGCAAGCUGUUCGACUUGUCGGCAGUGUUGGAGGUCGUGACCCUUGGUGCGGUGGAUCUUGUAGUACUGGGCGUCGGAGCCCUCGGGCUUGUUGGUGGCCGCCAAGGCUUGGGAAGAGCUGCAUCCAUCACCAUCUUCGCCGGAAGCCUCGGCCUUCGCCUACUUGGAGGCGUCGCCGCUGCCGGAUGUUUCGACGGGGAACGCGGCUUUCCCCUUCCAUUUCUUCUUGCGUCGCUCCCCCUCUUCGUGGGGGCGCUGACGUCUUCAUCUUCGGAGUCGGCCUCUGCACCGGCGUAUUCACCAGGAAGCCUUCUCCUUCUGCUCGAGCACACUUGUCCGCCAGGGCGUAAAGCUCGGCGACAUCGCGGACCUUGUUCAUCGCAAGCUCCUUGCGCAUCUUCCAGUUCCGCACGUUCUGAUGGAACGCCCUGAUGACUGCAACUGGGUGAACAUCCGAGAUGUUGUGUUGUAUGCGGUUGAAUCUCUAGAUGUACUUGCGCACAGUCUCACCCUCCUUCCGGGGGAUGAUGUGCAAGUUGCUCUCCUGGUCAGGGGCCCGAUGGCCGCCCGUGAAGGCGCAAACGAAGUCCUGACAAAACUCCUUCCCGGAGGAAAUGGAGUUCUUGGGUAGGUGCAUUAACCACGACCUGAGGUUGGGCUUCAGAACCAACGGGAAGUAGUUGGCCAAUAUCUUCUCAUACCAACCACCAGCAGCAUGCACCACGAUGGUGUAGAUGCUUAGGAACUCGGACGGGUGGGUCUUGCCAUCGUACUUCUCUGGGAUUUCCAGCUUGAAGGUACAGGAGCUGGGCCACUCGACCUGCCGCAACUCGCGGGUGAAUGUCAGGCAGCCCACCUUGUAAGGUAGGUCGCCAGGAUACCCCGAUGGGGGAGCGUCUAUAGCGGCCCCUGCUCGUCUGUCUGACUGACGGCGUGUCUCUCAUCGUCGCUCGAUGAGAGCACGCACAUCCUCCUUCUGCCACUCGUGAAGGACAUCAUGUUGAUCGCGGCGGGUCCGCGGGUCAGAAGACCCGGUCGAAUCGUUAGAGACGACAAUCCUUUGCCGCCAUCGUGGGGAAGAGUGUACCGUGGCGGUGGCAGCUCCAGUCUUCUCGGUGCAGUCGUGGGCGCGUUUGCCGGAGGGCCAUUUCGACGUCGCCUGCUCGGGCCCGUCCCCAUUGGCGAGGGUGACAAGACUCUAGAUGGUAGCCCUCCACUCCUUGAGCCUGUCUGCUAUCGGGGAGAAGUCCAAGAGUAGUUGGGCUCGCUUCAGGGCUUCCGCCGGCAUGGGCGGCGGUGAUAUGUGCGAAGACCGCGAGGGACUCUUACUUCUAACUGUGUUGAAAGGAGGAUCCCCUUGGUCUCGCGGUGGCGCGCCGCUCUUGCCGGUCGCGGAGCGAGCGUGUCGGUCCUGUGAAUCUUGGGAGCGAGGUCCCGGAGACCUUCGUGGGGGCGGCGACCCACCGCCGCUCCGGCGUGGUCCGCCGUGUGCGCCCUCGGAAGGCUGUGGUGGGUCGAUCUGCGUCAUUGUCCUCGAGGAUGUCCUUACAUCCUACGGGGUAGCGGCGCCACCCGUGGCUGUGCAGCUACAUCUUUCGACGUCCCGGCGUGCGGAUGCUCGCCGUGGUCGCGGAUGAUACCACUCGCCCGGGUCUGCUCUCCAGAGUGUCGAGGAGGUUCGGGACCUCCGCCUCCUUGUCCUGCGCCCACACCCUCACCUGCCUGCGCCGGGGCAGGAGCAUUGGGCGCGGGUGUGUCUGUCGCCGGAGCACCCCUCCUCUUGGGGGCAAUGGCGGUGAAGAGGAACUAGUGUGCUGAAGGCUAGAUCGGAUCAACGCGACCUCCUCCCCCUACCUGACGCGCCAAAGAUGUCGGGAAAACCGACACCUAUGGGAAACUCGAGGAGUCCCUUGAUCGUUUGGCAGGGAGAGAGAGGUACGAUGUCGAGAGCGGAGCUAGCUAUCAACACCGGCAAGGUCUUUUACUCAGGUUCGGGCCGCUUGGCGCGUAAAACCCUACUCCUACUUAGUUUGUAUUAUGUGCUUACUGUAGGGUGAUUUGCUACAGUAACUUAGUGGGUGAUUAGGAAGUCUCCAAUCCCCAAAGGGUCCAACCCUUAAGCAUGAGCCUUGGGCCUCUUUUUAUAGGAAAAGGGGUCACCAACAGCGUGCUCAUGGGGUGAAUAGUGAACAGUAUUCACCGCUCUACAUCUUCGGUGGUGUUAGGGGCAGUAAAUGCCUUGUCUGACCCCUCACCUGUCGCAGGGUGGUCGCGACACGUAUCCAGGUGAAUCGACACCCAGGUCUUGUGCUGGCACAGGAGGGAUGUGCUGGAGCGGUCGGAUUGUGGUAGAAACGGGGGGGGGGGACACCUGGCGAGUGAAGGGGGCUUGCUGGCCUGGAGCCUCUGUCGGAUCACUUGGUCACCUUCCCGGCAAGGAGGACUUGUCGGGGGCUUGGACACUUUCCCGGCAAGGAGGGCUUGCCGGGGGCCUCGCCAGUCUGUGCGAGCCUUCCCGGCAAGGGAGGCUUGCCGGGGUCUUGCUAAUCGUCGGGAAUCUUCCCGGCAAAGUGGGCUUGCCGGGACCUUGGGGAUCUUAGAGGCAAGGAGUGCUUGCCGGGGCCUUGCAUCUGGAGACCUUGUACUCCACACCCCACGAAGAGAGGGAACGCCGUGGCCUUGGUGGGUCUUGGAUUGCCUUUCUGCUGUUCUUCCCGAUGCACUGCCGUCACGGGCGUUGGUGAUGCCCGUGCACAAGUCUGGGUCACUAGGGACCCUAGUCUCUAGUGCGCUGACAGUAGGCGUGUCCUGAUUGGUGUUAUGGAAAAAAGGAAUCAUGGACGACAUUGGUUGAUAUUUGGCUCGAUGAUGAUGAUAAGUGGGCUGCUAAAAGCAUCCAAAACCGGGCUAAUUGAGGGAUUGACGGAACACAUGGUUAGGGAAACUGAAACCAUUGGAGGCACAAGAAAGUUCAGGUAUAUCUAUGUACAUGAAAAAUUCUUCUUCUUCUAUGCAUGACUAACCUAUGUUUGGUGGUCUUUGGUGGUCCGGAGGAGAAAUUGAAGUGACCGCCCUCAGACAUGGAGGCGUGGGAGCUAGACCAUAUGCGGACUAAGCCCAAGGAUGGCAAGGUCAAGUACUAUGGCAAGUCCGGCCAACACAUUUAGGCCUACAAGGAGGCGUAUCUUGGGUUCAAUCCUGAUAGACCUGACCCCAUAAUAGAGGCUACGGACGACAGGGCGGUGGUCGGCAUAGGGUCGAAGAAUCAUGGUCAGAAGGUAUUUCUGGACGUUGUGGUCACUCCUUCUAUCUCCUACACACAACUCCGAGUUACGAACCCGAGCCUGAGACCGCACCCGAGCACGACCAGUGCACCCUCACAGUCCCUCCUAACCCAGCAACACAUUGUAAGAAUUUUCCCUCUUAUCUUCCUUUAUUUUCCACAUUGAGAUGCUUCAUGAGUUUCAUCAUGCCAUAUUGUAGGCCUACAUGGAGUACACACGUCACAAGACCCUGGCGUGGAAUGCGAGAGCUACAACAGUUGUGGACCACAACAGUUGCAUGAUGAAGGUUAGUUUUGACCCUUUCAUUUGACUUUCAUAUUUGCACUUUCAUUUCUUCUAACCUUCGUGUUUUCUUGUUCAACUAACAUGCAUCACGUUUUUGACUCCUUGGCGUCCGACACGGCUCCUGUAAUGGAACCACCAUCACCACCUACUGGACCACAACCAGUGCUGGCUACGUUUGAAGAAAUUCUAGCACAACACUGUCCAACUCCGGUUUGUACAUCCCCAAACUAUUCAACCACUACUUAUCGUUUAUUCACCACAAUCAUAUAUCUCUUUAACAUCUCUUUUCAAACAUGCAGGGAACCGGUGGAUCAUCCAUUGGUGGUGGUGCCAAUUAUGGCAUCACUCCCGAGUCAUAGAGCCCGAUCACUCCAAUCCACCGUGGAGGUGGCGGUGGCGGUCUUGACACUAGCGGUGUCGGUAGCAGUGAUGAUCUGGGAUUUGGCGGUCUUGGCGGUGACGAAGUUGGUGGUAGACGUCCUGGCCCUUAAGCCUCUAGGUGGUGGUGCUGACUUCUAUCUUUCAUGCUUCUCUAUUGUGGACUUAUGUUGUGUUGUUCGAGUUAUGUUGUGUUGUUCGACUUAUGUUGUGUUGUUUCCACUUAUGUUGUGUUGAUUCGACUUAUGUUAUGAUGGUAAUACUUAUCUUAUGGUGAUAAUGAUGUGGAUCUGAUAUAUAUAUAUAUAUGGUGUAUAUAUGAUCUGUGAUAUAUAUGUGUUCUGUAUUUGAAUUGAACAUGAGUAGGAAAUAAAAAAAACAAGAAAUAUGCCGACGGCUAUGCCGUCGGCAUAGCCAUGCUCUAGUAAGGACCAGAAGCUGCCACGUUGUAGAGAUACGUCGACGACUAUGUCGUCGGCAUAGCCAUGCGCCAGGAAGCACCAGAAACCGUUACAUGACAGAUCUACAACGACGGCUAAACCGUCGGCGUAGCCUCACGCCAAAGCACGUGAGGGACCGCCAUGUGGCAGAUCUACACCGACGGCCUCCACGUCGGCUCAGCUUUGGAGAUAUACUGAAGGCUAUGCCGCCGGCAUAGGGGUGCCACGUGGUUUGCUCCGGUUAGCUGUCGCCCGCUGACGGCGCCGUCAUGUGCUGUCAUGUGGCAAAGGUUGCCGACGGUCUAUCUAUGCCGACGGCUAUACGACGGUCGUCGGCGUAGGUACCUAUGCCGACGAACCUGGCCGGAUACGCCGAUGUUCGUUCCCGACGGUGCUAUGCCGACGAUGGCCGUCGGCAUAUCCCUACGCCGACGCGAUAUGGACCUACUCCGACGGCCUUCGGACGUGAUUCUCUCCUUCUAUAAAACUAUGAUACGCAUUUUUGUACUCUCGAAAAACUUUGAAGUAAAUUACACAAGUAUUAUUGAUUACAGGGCAUAUUUCCAAUAAGGCAAACCGCUAGGGUGGCCCGGUCUGCAUGAAUUAGAGGUGGACCAGAGUAAAACCACAAGAGGGAAAACAAGGGAAAUGGAGGAACCAACAAACUCCCCUUUAAUUAGUAAAGCUCAUUGGUUUCCAUUCAUAUCAUGUGUUGUGUUAUCUAUUUACUACAUAUGUUACUUCUAUCGUGGCUAGUCUUAUGUUUGUUUCGUCGAAAGUGCUAUUAUGAGCUUGAGCUCAAAUGCCUUUAGAUGAACAAUAAAAUCCAAAAAAAUAGUAAAAUGUUUCAAAAAAUUGUAAAAUUUUGUGGCAAGAAACAUUGGUGUUUUUCCUACAUGCAUGCCAAAAUUCAUAAGGGAAUCACAUUCGUGGAGGUAUAGACAAAAAAACAAAAUUGAUGCUUCAAAAUGCUUCCAAAAACACUAUUUUUAAAGCAUUGAUUUUGUUUUUUUACCCACCCUCCACAAAUGUGAUUUUAUCAUGAUUUUUUUGCGGGGUUUCAUCAUGAAAUUUUGCACGCAUGUAGUAAAAAUAUCAAUGUUUCAUUUCUCAAAAUUUCUGAUUUUUUCGAUUUUUUAAAUAUAUUUGCCGAUUUUACUGUUCAUACGGGAGUAUAUGAGCUCGAGCUCAUAUACUCCAUGUCCUUGUUCAUACGGGAGUAUAUGAGCUCGAGCUCAUAUACUCCAUGUCCUUGUUUCGUUCUCUUCUCUCUUUGUCUAAGUCUGUAACUCCAAUUUUAUCCCUUGAUCAAUGAUUCGUCGAAUAUGCACCAGCGUAAUCUUUUUGUGAGGACAACGUGUAGUAUUAUUAUUUCAACUAGCAAAAGGGCUCGUGCGUUGCAACGGGAGAAAAAAUACCACACGCUUUUAAUGUUUUAUAAUCAUUUUGAUUUAUUAAAAUAAUAAGCUGACGAACUAAUGUAGUCAGUUCUAUCCUAUUUUGUUGAGAAAUCAACCCAUCCAUUGUUAAUUCUACCAUGAUGAGAAAUUGAGCGGGACAAGCAAAGCAAAACAAAGAGGCUACGUGAAUUGAUCAAGGGACUGUUAUCUUAUUUCACUCAUGGGAUAGAGAACGUGGGAUGAGAUGAAAAACUGAAGAUGGUGUUCCAUUCUCUCUCUCUACAACAAUGCAAUCUUACAUUCAAUACAUUCAUUCAUCAGCAAACAAAUUCUCACAAAACAAAUUUUCUUGCCGGUGCUUGGCACACGAUUGGAGGCAUGCAGAGGGGAUCUCAUCAGAUGAUGAGUUCCUGCCGGAGGAGGGGAUACGAUGAGGGGAGCAAGGGUUAGGCGCCUCUAUCUGGCCAUAAGGAGUCGCCGUUGCCGCGCCAUAACCUCGGAGUUCCCCGUGUGAGCCAUGGAGGUCCGCCUCCACCUGCAAGUACUUCGCUCCGCCGCGCCUUAUCCGCGCGCCGCCGCCGUUCUGCAUCGAGCAGACGCAUCAUCCAAGUCGUUGUAGCUGUCGCGUUGAUUUGAUCCAGAAGCUGUGCUCGAGUGCCGAAACAGGGGCAGCAAGCGGGCAGAGGUACGACCGCGGAGGCGGGCAGGUUGAGAUCGACAGCAGUGGUGGUUGAGGUCGGCCGCGGCGGCGAGUGGUGUGGCAGCGGCCUGGGCACAGGCCAGGGUGGACCAGGGUCGACGCGAUGCGCUCGAGCGCCUCAACGUGGUAGUGAGCGGGGAGAGGUACAGCCGCGGAGGCGGGUGGGUUGAGAUCGGCAACGGUGGCGGUUGAGGUCGGCCGCAGCGGCAAGUGGUGUGGCGGCGGCCUGGGCACAGGACAGGGUGGUCCAGGGUCGACGGGAGGAGGCGAUGCGUACGGGUAUAAUUUUUACAGCGAAUCAUUUUUUUUCUUUUGCGUUGCAGAUAAAUGAUGGAGCGCGGGUUGAAUAACAAAAAAUACAGGGGUUUUUUUAUAAAAAUGUUGUGGUGGGUUUUCCGACGAAAGCAAUAGCCGCUUUAUUAUUAGAUAUAGAUUAGUCUAUCAGAACGGAAGAACAUCGAAAAACUUUCAGGACAAUACUUGGUAGAAAAAUUACACCCGACCCGAUUCAGACGUGCUGCCUACCUAAUUAUCCAUCUACGUAGACUAAAGAGCAGAACAUGCACGCAGUCGUAGAGAGGAAGCAGGAACAACGAGUGCAGUUAACCAAACGUCUGAACCGGCCAGUUGCGUGCCUACGGCUGGCUACACGCCGCCGCAGCGGUAGACGAUCCGGCACGUACGCCCCACCCGGACGACGUACUUGUGCUGUGGCUUCACGAGGAACGGCGGCAGCCGUAGGAGCGCCUCGCAGACACAGUCCUUCUGCACCUCCUGCAGCCACCGGCAGCAGUCGCGGUACGCCCGGAGCUCCUCGUCGUGGUGGUGCUCGUGGUUGUCGUCAUCGUGCUCGUGCUCGUGCUCGUGGUCAUCGUCGUCGUCAUCGUCGUCGUCGUCAUGGUCGUCGUCUUCUUCAUGGUCGUCGUCGUGAUCGGGGUCCUCCUCGUGGUCAUCAUCAUGGUCGGGGUCCUCCUCAUGGUCGUCGUCAUGGUCGGGGUCCUCAUCACCGUCGCGCACACGACCACGGCGCCCACGUCCACGCCCACGCCCGCGUCCACGCCCACGCAGACGGCCGUGCCCGCGGCGCGUGUGGUUGCCGCCAUGGUGACCGGUGCCGUUUCUUGCAACGACAACGCCGCUGCUGUUGCUGUUUGCCGCCAUCAGACCAAGGGACGAGAUGUUGAUGACCGCCGCGUGGCCAUGGCGUCCACGGAGGCGGCGGUCACUGUCUCCACCGUGGUGAUCGUCGUCGCCGUCGUCAUCAUCGUUGUCGUCAUCAUCAUCAUCGUCAUCGUCGUGGUGGUGAUGGUGUCGGUCGUCCUCCGGAGGGCUGGGCGGCAGGAUGGAGCAGGCCUGGCUGGCAAUGGCGAACUGACUGAUGCAGAAGGCCUUGGCCUUGCCCUGCUGCGCGGCGACGGGGGCGAGGAGGGAAGGGAAGAAGAGGAGGACGGCGGCCAAAGCCGCGAUGUGGGACGCCGAUGCUGCCAUCUACGGAGUCGUGGCUGCUAUGUGAAGUGCCACACUAGUGCAUGCCGGCCACUUCUUAUAAAGAUGUGUAACCAAGUCAGUAAUGUGCAUUAGAGAGGUUAUUAAAUAGUUGGGGUCAAGGCCGGGUUGGGAGUGACCUGGUCGAUCGAGAUGCACACAGCAUGGUGCAUGGUUGUAAUUAGUUAGGUGCUUCAUAACUAUGGCGUGCAUCCAGGAUUGUCCAGCCAUGUCCACCUUGUUUACAUGCAUGAAGGCGUGCAUUGUUGGUGAGAGGCCAGUGACAAUUUGGUUGUAUUAAACUUACUAAAUUAUUAUGUUCGUCAAUCUUAAAAGAAGUCCGCCUAAUUUAGAAUGUUUAGAGGUUGUUUGCAUUUGUUAAGCUGUCUUACAUUUUGUUUUUCAUUUACCCCGCUGGUUAAAAGAGAUAAUGAUAUGUACUCCCUCCGUUCUUAAAUAUAAUUUUUUUAGACACUACAAAACUACAUACAAAUGUAUAUAAAUAUAUUUUGAAAUAUAAAUUUAUCUAUUUUAUUAUGUAUGUAGUUAUAUAAUGAGAUAUAUAAUAAAACUUAUAUUUAAGAACGAAGAAGAGAGUACGUACUGUACAAAUAGUCAAAUCUCACCAUUCAAAGCAUCAAAAGAUAACAAAGAUUACGUCGAGUUCUCUAAACCACCAAGCUACCAAUGCCUCCUGAGAGAGCCAGUUCAAAAUUCAUGAAAAUUCAUACCAUAUAAUGCAAUUUAGUUUAAAUGUCAUAAUAAUUUCAGCAAAUCUCUAUCUCUACUACUUAAGGUUACCGUUUCACCACUUGCUGCGUGCAUUCUUUCUAUAUAUAUUCUCCCUUCCUUUUAUGUCUUUUUCCUCCUACGUUGAUUUUCUCCCACUAGUUUUCUCUAAAGCAACUCAAUUAUCUCACGUCUUAUUAACUAUCAAAAUAAAAUAUCAUUACCAUUGAUAACUCAAUAAAUUGUUACAAACUAUUCCCUCCGUCUUACGGCACUUAUUUUGGGGCGGAGGUAGUAUUAUUUAAGAAUAAGACGAGAGGUGAAUUAGGAUCAUUGUAAACAAAAAAUAGAUAAGAUUUUAGUUCACCAAUGUAAUAAAAGACUUUCACUACUAGGAAAAAACUUAUAGACAAACGCUAACUAGUAGCGCAGGUUUUUACCCCUCGCUACUGAUACUUAGUAGUAGCACGAGUUUUUACCCCUCUACUACUAAGUUGAUAGUAGUAGCGCGGGUUUUUAACCCUCGCUACUACUAAGUGGUCUCAACUGUGCCCCCCUAGGACAUGCAAUAGUAGUAGCGCGGUGUAUAAACGAGCGCUACUACUAAGUUGAUAGUAGUAGUGCGGGUUUAAAACCCACGCUACUACCAGGUAGCCUUCAUUGUUGAAAGGACCACGAUGACGCCUCGAGGGGGGGGGGAGGGGGGAGGGUGAAUAGGCUAUUUAAAAACUUGUUCGGAUUUGGCUUAAACCUAAUGCGGAAAUAAACUAAGAGGAUACUUUUCAAGCACAAAUCCUAAAUGCAAUAGGCACCGCAACAUGGUUACUAACAAGCACAAGUAAGUUACACAACCUUACUUGAGCUAUAUCACACGACAAGUAGGUGAACGACACAAGAUACUAGAUCACACUAUAGCACACGAUAUAUCAAAAGCUGCAAGUGUGAACGUGUGGAUAUAGAGGGUAUGCUUGAACGAUUAAUCUUGUACAAAGAAAUAGCCAACACAAUAUAAUGAGCACAAACAAUAUGCAAUGUAUGUAUGCUCAAGUAANNNNNNNNNNNNNNNNNNNNNNNNNNNNNNNNNNNNNNNNNNNNNNNNNNNNNNNNNNNNNNNNNNNNNNNNNNNNNNNNNNNNNNNNNNNNNNNNNNNNNNNNNNNNNNNNNNNNNNNNNNNNNNNNNNNNNNNNNNNNNNNNNNNNNNNNNNNNNNNNNNNNNNNNNNNNNNNNNNNNNNNNNNNNNNNNNNNNNNNNNNNNNNNNNNNNNNNNNNNNNNNNNNNNNNNNNNNNNNNNNNNNNNNNNNNNNNNNNNNNNNNNNNNNNNNNNNNNNNNNNNNNNNNNNNNNNNNNNNNNNNNNNNNNNNNNNNNNNNNNNNNNNNNNNNNNNNNNNNNNNNNNNNNNNNNNNNNNNNNNNNNNNNNNNNNNNNNNNNNNNNNNNNNNNNNNNNNNNNNNNNNNNNNNNNNNNNNNNNNNNNNNNNCAAAUCUCAAAUAGCUUGGGUUGAGAGGAGGAGAGGGAGACGAUCUAUCUUUUGAUUGGAACAACUCUCAAAGGGGCUCACAAAUGCUCUUGGGAUCUAAGAUUUGGUGUGAGCAAAUGUGUGUGAGGUAGAAAUGUGUUCUUAUGAGGAUAUGGCUGUGUUGGGCACCCUCUCACGAAGUGGGAGGGGGGUAUUUAUAGUGGAGAAGGGAAAGUGACCGUUGGGGUCANNNNNNNNNNNNNNNNNNNNNNNNNNNNNNNNNNNNNNNNNNNNNNNNNNNNNNNNNNNNNNNNNNNNNNNNNNNNNNNNNNNNNNNNNNNNNNNNNNNNCAAGCUAUUUGAGAUUUGAGCAAGUUUUGAGCAUUCCAAGUGAUCUUGUUACUCUUCGAGGUUGGAGACUCCUAGGCGGUAGGAGUUCUUUGGAGAGGAAUCAAUCCGUGUGAUUUCCCCCGGAAAAUUUUGUGAGGGUUUGGAAGCUACCUCAAAGGCUUACCACUAGUGGUUGAGAAACGCCUUCGUGGUGUUAUCUCAAAGGGAGAAUAGGGUGAGCCUUCAUGGCAUUGGUGUGCCUUCGUGGUAACAUCCACCUCUCUAACGGUGACUAGCUUCCCUACAAGGAAGAGAACAUCGGGAUACAUCUUUGUCUCAGUGACCUUGGUUGUCCUUAACCCUAACUCCUUACUUGUGGUUUACUUGUCUUACUUGAGCAUACAUACNNNNNNNNNNNNNNNNNNNNNNNNNNNNNNNNNNNNNNNNNNNNNNNNNNNNNNNNNNNNNNNNNNNNNNNNNNNNNNNNNNNNNNNNNNNNNNNNNNNNNNNNNNNNNNNNNNNNNNNNNNNNNNNNNNNNNNNNNNNNNNNNNNNNNNNNNNNNNNNNNNNNNNNNNNNNNNNNNNNNNNNNNNNNNNNNNNNNNNNNNNNNNNNNNNNNNNNNNNNNNNNNNNNNNNNNNNNNNNNNNNNNNNNNNNNNNNNNNNNNNNNNNNNNNNNNNNNNNNNNNNNNNNNNNNNNNNNNNNNNNNNNNNNNNNNNNNNNNNNNCUUUUGAUAUAUCGUGUGUUAUAGUGUGAUCUAGUAUCUUAUGUCGUUCACCUACUUGUCGUGUGAUAUAGCUCAAGUAAGUUUGUGUAACUUACUUGUGCUUGUUAGUAACCGUGUUGUGUCCAUCUUGGUAGAUCAUGUUGUUGGUGCAUGUUGUGGUGCCUAUUGCAUUUAGGAUUUGUGCUUGAAAAGUAUCCUCUUAGUUUAUUUCCGCAUUAGGUUUAAUCCAAAUCCGAAGAAGUUUUUAAAGAGCCUAUUCACCCCCCCCCCCCCCCCCCCCCCUCGAGGCNNNNNNNNNNNNNNNNNNNNNNNNNNNNNNNNNNNNNNNNNNNNNNNNNNNNNNNNNNNNNNNNNNNNNNNNNNNNNNNNNNNNNNNNNNNNNNNNNNNNCCAUCAAGUGUGUGUUGAUGGGAGGCAAGUCUUUCUCUUUAUGAUGCUUUGUUCCAUCAUGAAAAUUUAUCGAUGGCUUGGUUUGUUGGAACCUAGCUCUCUUUUGGAAAUUAGAUACCUCGUGUUUGUUUUCCUUCAAUUGGUUUCUUGUUUCCUUUUAUUUGGCAUGUGUCAAUGGAUAUCUUAUUCCUUGAGGUAUCUUCUAAUUGAUAUCCUUCAAGUGAUAGUUAUUUUUUGUUUAGUAUCUUAUUAUCACUUGAUACCUUGUCUUUUGGUGACUUAUCAACUUUGUGUUGAGUUGAUUCUUGAGAGUCUUGUGCAUGCAUAUCUACUAUAUACAACUUCUUUUGCUUGCUUUCCUUCUUUGACCCAAUAUAUAGCGGAAACUCCACCUUGUCAUAAAUUGGCUAAAGUGUGCAUGAAAUUCAAAUUCAUAUCUAUAUGCACAUAUGUAUGUGGAGUUUGUCCUAUGUAUUGCUGGUUUUCUAACUCUUUGGUCCCAAUGAGUUUGGGCACCAUUUUGUUUGUUUUGCUGUUCCAGGAACAACUGGAGAUGCAUUGGAUGCUCGGCUCACCUAUAAGGAAGGUGUUGAGACCAUGUGAUUAUUGGAGCCAAGUUAGGAUGAUCAAAGAACAACUAUCUACUACAUCAAUCCAAUGUUGUCUCGGUAACAAGUAUCCACUUCAUGCAUUCUUUUAUUGCAAAGGCCCCAACCUGUCUUUUCUUUUCCAGGUUGCAUCAUGGCAUGAAUCUCUUGAUUCGUACUUGUAGUACUUGUUUGCUUUCUCAAAGCAUCCGAACGAUGAUGUCUUACUACUAGUUGGGAUGUCUUUGAUGUUCGUAUGUUGGAAGUUCAUAUUGUACAAUAAGAAAAUAUUAGGCCAUGUGCGAUGCUUCCAAGCAAAAGAUCUCAUUGAUAUAUUUAUGACUUCCUUUUGGAUAUCUAGUUUGUUCCUUCUUGUAACCAUUUCGUGUGUACAUCCUUCUUUGUGGAUAUAUAUCAUCAUGAUUGUCUUCUACUUAGAAUAUUUUACACAUGAGAGAAGUUACAUCUCUAAUUGAUAUCGUGUUUUCUUUCACGUCCAUCGUUGCAUUUCCUUUUUCAGUUUUUGGUGGCUUCGUGAAAGGAUUUGUUUUGAGUGCGUAUCUUAUUUUCCUACAUCUUGAUGCACUCUUUGGCCGUGAAGAUAAUUUUUCCUCAUGCAUGUCUUGAUGAGGGUUUUUCCAUUUCAAUUAGUAUCCCUCCUCUUGACAAGGUUCUUACUUCCUAUCUUCACAAUGGGUUGUCACAAGCGUUGGUUCUUAUUUUUUUUAUUAGUAAGCUUGUGAACCCAUUUUCUAGUAUGUGUGUGUGGGAAUGAUAUGUCUUGCACUUUGUAUCUCAUUUCAUCACGACUAUGUUGAUGAGUAAUGCACAUCCUUAUCUUAGUCUUCUCAAGUGCUUUGACAUGACUCACACACAUUACUUUGGUUGACCCUAUUCUUAAGUUGCUUCUUUUACUUGUUGCUCAACCAUUUGUUUUGUGCAAUUGAUAUGCUUAUUGUAUCAUCUAUCUUGUUGCACUCGUUGUGUGUUUUUAUUAAUUUUGGGGGAGCAACGAUCCUAUUUUGUGCACCUGUAUCAAAUAAAAAAAUCGCGUAUUAGUGCACAAAUCAUGGGGAGCUUCUCUAGUUUUUGAUAAAACACUCUCUUGCCUUUAUCAUAAUAUCUUUUAUUCAUGUGGUUUGAAGGACCAUAUGAUUGUUUGUUCCAUCUGGAAUCUUUUGAUUGAUUGCCUCUAUUUUUGUAUGUCUUUGUGGCAUACGAUCCUUUUAUUUGCAAUCUUUGGGUCCUCAAUAUAGUUUGUUUUCCUCCAACUACUUAUAAUUGUAUUUGUGUAUUUCUCUACACUCAUUUGCUGAGAAGUACACAUUUUUUUGGAGGACCACCUACUAUAUUGGCUUUCUAAACUUUUCGUCCAUUUUGGCAAUCGAUGCCAAUGGGGGAGAAGUUUAGAGAGUUUACUUUGGAUAUGUUUAGAGGGUUUUGCUUUUUAUUGCGUAAGCAUUUACAUCUUGCACGCAUGCAUUAUUACCUUGUAUGUGUGUGCUUGGUUAUGCUUAUUUCCUUAUAUAAACUCUCUUGAAGUGGUUGUCUUCAAUUACCAAAAUGGGGGAGAUUGUUAGAGCAUAUAUCUCCAUAUGUGGUUUUGGUAAUUGAUGACAAUUCCUAUGGACUAAUUGUUGCCUUAAGUUAUAUUUAUAGGAUUUGUCCAUAGGCACUUCUUGAAGUCCAUCUGUUGGGUUCAAGGAGUUUAUAUGAUGACCAAGAUGGUAUUUAAGGUAUUAUCCAAUGAAUGGUCAUAGAGACACUAGGUUGAUCAAGAUCUCAGACAAAGAGUAAAUCAAGAUGAUCAACACACAAAGCGUAUAAGAUGUACCGAGAGGGAUCAAGUGAUCCCUGGUAUGGUAAGCAUUGUCCAUUAUGUGUUUUUGUACUAAUCCAUGGUCUUUGUGAGAGUCCUAUGUGGGGGUUAGGUGUGCUUCCAUGGGCUUACGUGAAAAGGAAGAUCUCAUACAACCCAUGAAGGAUGACGUCAAGUGGUGAUCGUCAUCAAGAUUGUGGUGUGCAAGUUCAAGUGGAUCAGCACGAAUAUAUCAUUGAAACUAUUGUUAAUGAUCGUGUGUUGAUAAGGACAAGCUCAUGUGCUAACAAGGACAAGAUCAAGAUAAGCAUUCCUGAGCACUACAUCCUUGAUUCUUGUGGAUGUUCACAUGGUGGAAAAAUGAACAUGAAUACAUAAGCUAGGCUUUCCACAUUGUGUAUGGGAGAGCUGCUUGAAGACUUCAUCAUGUCUUGCUUUCAACUUGAGCCAAGAAGGAACAACAACAUCAAGCUCAAGUGAAAGGGCUAACUCAAAGGUAUCAGUUCCUUUGACGUUAGUGGUGCAGAGUGAUGAUCAGCGAAUAAAAGUAUACACUCAAGUAUGGAUCAUCAGUACCCCUUUUAUGACUCUUGAGUCUUUAGGGAUCCCGCACUAUUAAGAGGAGAUCACAGGUUUUGCGAUGAACUUGCUCAAACUACAUCUCUACUUUUCUGAUCAUACCACAUCUCCACUACUCUGGAGUUAUCUAAAAACAGAACCGAUGCCUCGGACAUCCGGCUUCCUCCGGACGUCCGAGGGACGAACGCCCGACCACUUCGGAAAUCCGGAACCUUAUACUAGAGAAAUCCAAAGUCAAAUAACUCAGACUUCCGGCUCUCUCCGGACGUCCGAGGGCCGGACGUACGGCUCUCUCCGGACGUCCGAGGCCUGGACGUCUGACCCCCUUCAGAAAACCGGAACCUUGCACCAGAAGAUAUUUGAGUCAAAUAACUUGGACUUCCGGCCUCCUCCUGUUGUCCGAGGGCCGGACGUCCGACUUCCUCCGGAUGUCCGGUCCCUGUUCGACUACACAGUGGUUCCUAAUAUAUUUACAUCCCUCGGACGACCGACCCCUGUCGGACGUCCGACCCCUUGUGGGAGUCCGGACAUCCGAGAACUGCCGGAUGUCCGACCACUGUCAGACUUAAGUGACCCCAACGGUCACUUNNNNNNNNNNNNNNNNNNNNNNNNNNNNNNNNNNNNNNNNNNNNNNNNNNNNNNNNNNNNNNNNNNNNNNNNNNNNNNNNNNNNNNNNNNNNNNNNNNNNNNNNNNNNNNNNNNNNNNNNNNNNNNNNNNNNNNNNNNNNNNNNNNNNNNNNNNNNNNNNNNNNNNNNNNNNNNNNNNNNNNNNNNNNNNNNNNNNNNNNNNNNNNNNNNNNNNNNNNNNNNNNNNNNNNNNNNNNNNNNNNNNNNNNNNNNNNNNNNNNNNNNNNNNNNNNNNNNNNNNNNNNNNNNNNNNNNNNNNNNNNNNNNNNNNNNNNNNNNNNNNNNNNNNNCAAGCUAUUUGAGAUUUGUGCAAGUUUUGAGCAUUCCCCGUGAUCUUGUUACUCUUGGAGGUUGGAGACUCCUAGGAGGUAGGAGUUCUUCGGAGAGGAAUCAAUCCAUGUGAUUUCCCCCGGAAAAGUUUGUGAGGGUUUGGAAGCCACCUCAAAGGCUUACCACUAGUGGUUGAGAAACGCCUUCGUGGUGUUAUCUCAAAGAGAGAAUAGGGUGAGCCUUCGUGGCGUUGGUGUGCCUUCGUGGUAACAUCCACCUCUCUAACGGUGACUAGCUUCCCUCCAAGGAAGUGAAUAUUGGGAUACAUCUUUGUCUCAGUGACCUUGGUUAUCCUUAACCCUAACUCCUUACUUGUGGUUUACUUGUGUUACUUGAGCAUACAUACNNNNNNNNNNNNNNNNNNNNNNNNNNNNNNNNNNNNNNNNNNNNNNNNNNNNNNNNNNNNNNNNNNNNNNNNNNNNNNNNNNNNNNNNNNNNNNNNNNNNCGCCCAUUCCUUGGACAUGAUGGACCACAAACAUGAUGCAUACAUGUAAUGAUCAUUGCCAUGAAUAAAUAUUGCAUGACUAUGCGCUUUGCAUAAUUUGUCACGGGGGGGGGGNNNNNNNNNNNNNNNNNNNNNNNNNNNNNNNNNNNNNNNNNNNNNNNNNNNNNNNNNNNNNNNNNNNNNNNNNNNNNNNNNNNNNNNNNNNNNNNNNNNNNNNNNNNNNNNNNNNNUGUUUUGGGUUGCCGUCAUACCAAAGGGAUUGAAUCCAUCCGUGGCGACGCAGACUCAAGGAUGCCUUGGAUCUGCUGCUUUAUCCAUAUGUAAUGAAUCGAAGUGCUUCCACGCUUCCACGUACGAUGUGUGUACCGACAUCUUAUUUCCAUCUGCAUCUAGUUUGGUCCUUUUGCCCAAUUUGUGCCAUGUCAUCAGUCUGGCCGUCUCUUCGACCAUGAAAAGACGUUGAAGACUUGGUAUGUACCGAAGAAUAUUAUCUAUGACUUUGGUCUGCUCUUCUCACCCAUACUGUUGUCUACCACAACAUACUUGGAAGACUUGCAAAUGGGACAGUAGUUCAAUUCCGCAUAAUCAAACCUAAAUAAGGCACUUCCUCUCUCACAACCAUGUAUCUUCUCAUAGGGCAUCUUAAGGACACGAAGUAUUUUGUCCGACUGGUAUAGGUUUGCAUGCAUGACAUGGCCUUUGGGUAAAAAAACGUCCAAAUAGUGUCAUCAUCGCAUCAUAGCAUUCUCUUCCCAAGUUGAAUUGAGCCUUCAAAGCUAUUACUUGUGCAAUGGCAUCCAGCUGACAAAGCUCAGUAUGCUCGUGGAGAGGACGUUUUGAAGACUCUAACAUUUCAUACAAGGCCUUUCAAGAUUGCUCCAGCUCAUCAUCCGAAUCCCGAGCAUCAUCAAAGUCUUGCACCUUGUGUUCGAUCUUGGUACCAUGCUCGUUGGUGUGACGAGAACCACCUCUGCUCUGGUGCGUUGGACAGACUCACCAUGAAAUGUCCACAUCAUAUAAUGAGAUGUAAAACCCCUCCUUUGCAGGUGUUUACCUAUUUCAUCAUGUGUCCUCUUUUCAAAGUUGUCGUACCUAGGACAGGGGCACCAGGUUGUUGUCUGGCCAUUUGCAAAUAUGGCUUUCACAAAUUCCUUGGUUUUUGUAAACCAUUCUUUGGUCAUCUCUUUCUCACUAGUGUGACCAGUGUACAUCCAUGCACGAUCACUCAUCUUGCCUAGCUACUAAACACACAAGAAAUAUAUAUAUAUAUAUAAUUCAGCAUAUAUUCAUCAGUUAAUCAUGUUUGUAGGUUUUAUUACGUCCAUGCAACCUACACACUAAUAGGUAAAGAUAGGUCCUAAUCCCACCCGAGUAUCUGUAGAUUGGGUUCGUGUUCCCAUGCUCUUCUCGAGAUCUGACGCAAAAUUUCGGAAGCACCUCCCCGCUGUUCUCUUGAUACAUGUCUCGGCAAUAAACAAAGAGGAUGUGUACCCGACGAACAACAAUGAGGCUCUGACAAAAUUAUGCAUUGGAUCCGGAGCAGCGCAUAUGGGAAAACGAACCCAAUCUACACAUACUCGGGCUGUCCAUGGAUAACGUUGGACAAUUCGUAAGAAUCACAGUUAUAAAUAUAUGCAAAUGCUUGCAUAUUUAUAACUGUAACCCUUUUGAACAUGAGACGCAUACUGGUCACGAAUACCGAUGAUUUAAUGUACCUAUAUCUAGCAAGUUUCAUCGGCACGAAGCCCAGAAUAGAGCAAAUGAAGGGGAGGAGGAGAUGUCAUUUAUGCUCAACCACGAACACAGGGGCAGAGCUCGUCAAACGCAUGGGGAGGUUGUCGAACACUAGACCCCCGCAGCGAUGAAACAACUCCACAUUUAAGUCCACUCGAUCAACACAAAUAUUUGGUUUUUAUAACAAAAUCAGAAAAUAUAUGACCUAACUCAUAAUUUACAAAAGUAUAACCCACUCGGCAUCUGAUAGGCCGAAGAGGAUCUUUUUGGUAGACAGGAGGCUGAAGCGGUGUCGUGGUUCAAGGGUGAGUGGCGUCGGGAGCGACGUAUUAACAACUGCGCGGGGGAUUGUAGUGGCGAUCUAUCAGUGACAUCUUCCCGUUACCACACGCAAGUGCAGAUGACUGGUGUCAUGUCGGGGUGUCGUGUAAGGGUGUCGGGGUGUCAUGUCGGGGUGUCGGGGAGUCAUGUCGGUGUGUCGGUGUGUCGGGUGUCGGGUGUCGUAUAAGGGUAUCGGCGUGUCGUGUAAGGGUGUCAGGGUGUCAUUUUCUUCUUCUUGCUAUUCUUUCUUUUAUGCUUCUUCCUUUUCUUCUUCUUCUUCUUCUUCUUCUUCUUCUUCUUCCUCUUCUUCCUCUUAUUCCUUUUCUUCUUCUUCUUCUUCUUCUUGUUUCUUCUUCUCCUCCUCCUCCUCCUUUUCGGUAGACACGAGGCUGAAGCGGUGUCGGGGUUCAGGGGUGAGUGGCGUCGGGGGCGACUUACUAACAACUGCGCGGCGGAUUGUAAUGGCGUCUAUCAGUGACAUCUUCCAAUUACCACAUGCAGGUGCAGGUGUCUGGUGUCAUGUCGGGGUGUUGUGUAAGGGUGUCGGGGUGUCAUGUCGGGGUGUCGGGGAGUCAUGUCGGGGUGUCGAGGCGUCGUGUGGGUGUGUCGGGUGUCGUAUAAGGGUAUCGGGGUGUCGUGUAAGUGUGUCACGGUGUCAUUUUUUUCUUCUCCCUAUUCUUUCUUUUAUGCUUCUUCCUUUUCUUCUUCUUCUUCUUCUUCNNNNNNNNNNUUCUUGUUCUUCUUCCUCUUCUUCUUCUUCUUCCUCUUCUUCCUCUUCUUCCUUUUCUUCUUCUUCAUCUUCUUAUCCUUCUUCUUUUUGUUUUUUCUUCUCCUCCUCCUCCUCCUCUUCUUCUUCUUCUUCUUCUUCUUUUCCUUUUUCAUCUUCUAAUUCUCAUCAUCUCCUCUUUUUUUCUUCUCCUUCUUAUUCUUCUUAUUUCUUCUCCUUAUUAUUCUUCUUAUUUCUUCUCCUUCUUAUUCUUCUUAUUUCUUCUUCUUCUUCUUCUUCUUCUUCUUCUUCUUCUUCUUCUUCUUCUUCUUUUUCCUCCUCCUCUUCUUAUUCUUCUUCUUCCUCCUUCUUCGUCGUCGUCCUCCUCCUCCUCCUCCUCCUCCUCCUCCUCCUCCUUCUUCUUCUUCUUCUUCUUCUUCUUCUUCUUCUUCUUCUCCUCCUCUCUUCUUCUUCUUCUUCUCCUCUCUUCUUCUUCUUCUUCUUCUACUUCCUCUUCUUCCUUUUUCCUUUAUCCUGUUCUUCUACUUAAUUAUUCUUCUUCUUCUUAUUAUAUUUUCCAUCUUUGUUGUUCUUCUUCUAAUUAUCUAAACCUAAACCUAGAACUAACCUAAACCAAACACUAAUUACCUAAACCUAAACAAUAAAAACCAAAAAAAACCAGAAAAAACUGGAAACAAAUCUCACGUUGAGGUCCUUCGGAGGGGGUGGCGUGGUGGUGGUGGUGAGGCGUGGUGGUGGUUGUGGUGGUCGGGGGGCGCCGGGAGAGGGAGCCGUUGCGAGGGGCUGGUGCGGUGGUGCCAGCGUGGGGAGGAGAGACAAGGAGGUGUGGGAAGAUCGGGAGAGAGAGAGGUGGGGAUCCGGGAGAGGCAGACGAAAAAGAGGGCAGAUGGGGUCGUGGGGAGAUGGGGUGCGCCACCCGUUAUGUGGCCGUCCCCUUUGCCGUCCGCCUGGGGCUCCUGCUGACGGCAAAGUGGGGGAGGCAGAUGACAAAGAGGGCUACGACGGAUGGCAAAGAAGCACGUGACAGAAACCAUGCCAUCCACUUAACCUAUGGUGCAUUGGGGCUGUCGAGUCUCUUUGCCGUUUGCCUGGUCCAUCUUUGUCAUCCGCGAGUACACGAGAAAGAAUGCACUGAUGGAAAUAGUAUCUUUGCCAUCAACCAGUUCUUUGCCAUCUGUUUGUGGGCAGCUAACGACAAGGAGUCUCUUUUCCAUCAGUGAGGAGACGACAAAGACCACACAUAUGCCAAAUUCCCUGAUUCCAGCAGUGUCUCUCUGUUGGUGCACAGAUGCUCGGAGUCGAGAUGGAGAUCACCGCUUCAGGUCAUCGGUGCUCGCAUGGUGAGAGCCCUCCCCGCCACCCCUUCUUCCUCGAUCUGGAGCCGCCGCAACCUCUAGACCUAUUCCCCUCUAUUCCCCCUCUGUUUGGUGCGCGGGGCGACCAGGGCUUCACCUUCCCGAACCGUUGCCGCCGAACUUCUCGUCAUCAACAAACAGGGGCUCUCCGGCGUCCCUCUCCUCCACUAACCAACGUGCGAUGAUGCCCUGGACCUAGCUGUAACGCGCACUCAUUGAACGACCGCCUGAAUCUUCGCGGGUGAGCACCUCCUCCUCCGUGUCGCAAGGAGGGAGAUGGCAUGUGGUCUCCACCUAUCAUCGUCCCCGUGUCGCCCCCUCUCUCUCACUCACCGGUCUGCCUUGCUAGUGAGGUUUAAAUAGCCGCAUGUUGCACGCACCCCUCUGCCUUGGGCCGAUUUCAUCUGGGCCGGUUGGACUGGCGUCAGUUUUGGCCCAAAGGCCAAUAUUAGCUUUAUCUUUUUCCUAUUUUAGCACAUCUUGCAAAAAUCCCCCAUAUUUAAAUAUAGGUCCAAAUGCAAUGAUUCCAACUCAUAUUUUUUUUCAAAAACCCCGCCUAUUUUAUGAUGCCACUUAUGUAAUUUUUACAGAAAGUUUCAUGCACUGUUUUAUUUAAAAACCUAGUUUUGAAUAUUUUAGCUAAUUGUUAAAAUGCUUUUUAUAACUUUUUAUAUUUAAAAAGUAGAAUUCAAUAAGUUUUACAAAGCUAACAUUCACCACACUAUUUUGCAAAAAUGGUGUGACUUUUUUAGGGUGACUUUAUUUUCACUGUUUCGUCGUGCUCUUAUUUUUGCGUGUUAAAUUGCGACGAUAGAUUGCAUUGUUGACGACGGGUUUGGACCAGAAGACUUUGAAGACCCCGGAGACUUGUUUAGCUAGGCAAGCAACCCUUUUACCAUGUCUAAGAAACCAUUUUAUUGCAUGCCAUAUAGCACUCUACUUUGUUGCAUCUGAUUCAUGUUGAAUCAGUGACCACCUUGGUGGGUUGUCUCUAAGAAACUCCUUGUUGAUACUUGCACUUGGGCAUGACCCUACCUUCUUAUGAGGGUUGUGUGGUUGGGACGGGAAUAUGCAUGGUGAUGAUGAAGCAAACAAUUUCAAAGAGUUUUCAAAAACCCCGUCGAGUGCCACUAAUGCGCGAGGGAGAUGGUGUUGAGCUAGGUAACCAAUUGACAAAGAAGUGGUUCACCCAGGGAAGUUGUGUGUGUUGUUUCGGAGAUAGGAGUGACUUAAGAUUUGUCGACAGUCCCAACCUUACAUGUGCGACCACAUUACACCUUUAUGGGACGAGGAUUUGUCGAUUACCUUGGUGGAUGCUAGCAGAGGGGCCACAUUACUACUGGCGGUUGAGCCGAGUCACUCUCUCGAUAGAGGGUCGUGCGAGGUAGGGAGUCAAUGGACUGUUUUCACAAACACCAAUCACACCGUUGUGUCCCCUCAGAGAUGGUACGUUCUUGAGCGAGGCCCGUAUGAUGUACAUCAUGAGGACGUGGCCAAACGGGUGGACUCUUUGUUUAGUGUCGCCAGGGGAAAUGAAUUGUUCACGUGCUUACCAUGGGUAUGUAGUAUACUGGGAGUCGUGGAUGACGUGGAGGUUCCCCGAGUCUCUUGAGUACAACGCGCAAACCUCUAUUGAGUGUAAAACUAUUCGAAUGUCCACGAUCAAGGAAAGUUGGGUGGUACUGCUUAAACUACGAUGAGAAGUUUUCGCAUAAACCAAGUGUGCGUGUGUGAGAAAGGUGAUUAUGUGAGAAAGAUGAUACAUGAGCUAAGUCAGACUACUUGGCAUGAUGGGUGGACAUGGGAUGUUCAACACUCACUUGAUAUUGAUAUUUGUAACCAGUUCAUAUGGAUAUCGUUUACCUCAUGAUGCAUGCCCUUACUUGAUCAUGUCACUGCACUUGAAAUUCUUCUUUCCGUAAUUUACCUAUUAGUGCUAUGUCAUGUAUUAUUAUUGCCUCGUUCCACAACUUGGGUUGCUUGCAAAUACAUUCAAAGUACUCAUUGGCUUGCCACUUGUUAUUUAAUUUGCCAGGAUGGAAGAGAAGGAAUAUGGAGAAGAGCUCACUGCUGACGAACAUGCGAACUAGGAGGCUUCCCAGUUAGAAUGUGUGUAGGUUAAGGCAGAUGGCAAGGGUUCACGCUUUCGUCCAAGAAUUCCGCUGCUAUUUCUGUUUGGUAGUUAUGUAUGGUGUGUCGACCAUCCAGGGCCUAUCUAUGUAAGACUUGACCUUAAUGGUUUCUAUUUGUAUGAGACGGUGUGUAAGGAUGUAAGACUCUUGUAUUCAUGUUUUGUGUAUUCCGUGAGCAUUGAUAUCUCUGAUCAUUGUGUAUGUGCAUUCCGUGAUCACGACUUAUGAGUCGGGGUCCCCACAGAGCUGGUAUCUGAGCCAUCCUGACUGUUGGAAGCCUUAGUUAGCAUGGACAUUAGAUAGGAUAAACCCCCUUUCAGAAACUAUACCUAGUAUCUAUACUUCGGAGUUUCUGCAUUUCUUACCCCUUCCACUCUAUUUCAAAAGCAUUACUAAGACCCUCCCCUUAAACCUUGUAGAUGGCCGUCGUAGCCGAAGACCUCCUAGCAUCCGACUUUCCCCUACUCCUUGAGGACAGCUUGGAGAAGUGCCAGUUCUUCUAAUCACCUGUUUUCCUCUACCACGAGCGUUGGGUCGAUGCCACCAUGAAGGAGUACCAUGUUGAUGUGGUCGUUAAGGCAAACGACUCAUCGGCGAGUUGGUUCUUUGAAGGACCACAGAUGGAGACCCUGGCAUUGCCAAUUGAUAUAGCUACACGGAAGGCACUCGUCCACCUUCGAGACAUCAUCCCAGAGAUGGACGACAAGCUGGCUACUCGCCACUUUCCUUUCAGGAAAGAUGAUAUUGGCGAGAGUUGGAUAUUGGUCCCAUCACCGGAGGAUGGAACACCAAUCAGAUUCCAGACCUAUUUCAGACUCUCAGCCGAUAGUCCAGCACACAACCUGAUUAAGGAGUUCGUGAAGCUCUACAAGGAACUUCACCACACCCGUGAGCUGCUUCGACAAGCGAAGAUGAAGCUAGACAAGAUCAAGAAGGAUGGAGCCCCCGAGGGAUGACCAGCUAUUGGUUACAGAGGAGGAGUACCACCAGCUAGAGAUACACCCACACAUCAUUAUCGCAUGAGUUUGAAGGAGUAUCGUGCGAUCUUCACUGAUCCGUUGAAGAAAGCAUCAUCGGGAUGGACCUCCUCGUCCUCCGCCCCCCUCGAUGGGAGACGAUGCGUUUAUGGAUGACGACCAGGAGUAUGACCCAGAGGAGCAUGAGCAUGAGACCGAGCACUCCACCACUUGAGUCUGAGAACCCCUCGGAUAGGAUAAGUCAUGUAUACCUCAUGCGAAAUCAAGUCCGUGUAAUGGUUCAUAGGAAACCAUGCGUGCUUAUUGUUUGUUUUACUAUUUGUGUUUCGAUGUGAGUCGCUCUUUUGCCUUAGGCAACAUGUGAGCGACUACACCGCCUACCUUAUCUUUAUGUUAUGUGUUGGGUCUUACGACCUUUGUUUGUCACACUUGCACUAUACCAACUCCCUUAGGCGCAUUUUCCUCUUGUUGCUUUUUUCCAUCGUCUAUUCUAGUUGUUUGACUUGCCUUCUCCAAACAGGAUCGUGACUUCUACCCGCACCAGUACUUUUGGCAACCCGAGCAACGACAACUCUAGCCAGGACCCGGAGGCCGGUGGGUCUGCUCAAGCUAGAGGUUACCAGGAGUAGCCACAAGGCGACUGUCACACCCUGUAUUUAAUAUCACUUAUCUGUAUUGUGAAAAUCUGAGCUUGUUAAAACAUUUUCAAGACUAAUGUUGUCAGUGCCAUGAUUGUCAUUGUAUGAUUGUGUGCUUGAUCAUGUGAUGAUAAAACCCUAUUUCAUAAAGCAGCGAUUUCCAAAAACCCUUACUUAUUUCUAAACAGGGAAAAACCCUACCUUGAGUUGCAGUACAUGCCCUUGAUAGCAAGCAGUGCUUCUACUCAAAGUUGGUGAUCUGAUUUCAACCUAUCUUUAUAUUCCAAAACAAAAAAAAUAAUUAUUUUUGUAAUUAUUUUCCUAAUUAAAUAACAUGUCCAAUUCUGAGGCCAGAAUUGGUAUUCUUACAUGGAAAAAUAUUUUUCAGCCUUAGAAAAAUCUGAUUAAAUUUAGAGAUAAUGAGAAGGACAUAUAUUUUCCAUACAUAAGAUAUUAAACCCUAUUUUAUAUGAUAAUUAUUCAAUAAAACCAUAAAAGUCAUUUUUGUCUCUUUUAACCUUUAGAAAUAUUUCCAAAGGGAAUAUUCUCAAUAAAAUCGUAGAAAAUUCCAGUGAUAUCCCUAAGCUAUAUUUGGUUUCCACAUAAAGUUUCACCUUGAUUAAAUGUGAUUAAGGACCCCAAAUAACCCUAAAACCCCUUUUGUCUAGAUUGAAGUUAGAGCAACUCUACAUAGCAAAGUUUAUCCAAUGAUGGUGAAACUUUGCAAGAAUGCCUAAUACCUCAAAUGAGGGUUCCACACAAAAAAUGGGAUUUGUGGGACUUAGUUUGCCCACACUCUCUUUGGAAGGGACAAAUAUGGUCAUAAUGGAGUGUUUUCAAGUUUACAAAGCUAAACUUGUCCAAUGGAGCUUAAACUUGGUGAAACCCCAUGAUUUAGCACCAAAUGCAAACCUGUUAAGUUGCAGCACCACUGGUGGGGUGCAACACCCUCAAACCACUGUCGAGCACCUUCUGACAGAUAGGGAAAAGCCACCUUAGCCACAGCUAAACCCAACCCAUUUGCUCCAAACUCAUAGAUUAGGUGGCCAAUAUCUGUGUCUAACCCCAGUCAACUGCCCCUCACUGGUUCAAAGUGGAAAGGCCAAAAACCCCAAUUUAGAUUUCAGUUCAAGGCUGACAGCACAAGUAUUUUUUGUCUCCCUUGACCAGCCGAAGCUCCCUCAAGACCCAAAAGGCUAGAAACACUCCCAGCCAGUGCCAGGAUAUCCUAGACACGUCCAAAGUGCCUCAGAGCGCACUAGCAUGCCGUUGCACGCCAAAACUGCGCUCUGGGCGCGCUACAGGAAGCCACUAAGGUGGGGGCAGCGCUCUCGGCCAGUUCCAGCCUCCCCCGAGGUGUCCAACCUCUUCCCCGACAACCUCUCUGUGUCGAGCAACCCUCAGGGCCUCUCCUCUCCCAUGCUAGAGCUCGUGUGACGCGUGCCCACGCACCAGAACCUACCAAGGUUGCAUGGCCACGGAUGCUCGACUUCUCCCCCUCUGCCUCUGCAGCAGAUGGCUCUGGUAGUCCAAAACCAUGUCCUGAGACCGUGGUUUCGGCCCUAGCCUCUCUCUGCACCCCCAUACACGCCACGGUGAGUCACCGGCACACCUUGACCAGCUCACCGUCGCGGGCCUAUAAAUAGCCCUCCCCCUCACUCCAGCACCCCUUAGAUCGCUUCACCACGAUCACUAGUACCUCCCUAGCAACCCCAGCAACCCACCAGAGCCCCGGUACUCGAGAUCGACCAAGGCCCCUCCGCCUCGGAGCUCCGGUCGAUCUGCGGCGACACGAUGACAACUGCGCCCCUCGACCCACCAAACUGAUCCUCUCAACCCCAGAAAGUUUUCUCCCAACUCGCCCGAGCAUUUCCGUGUCUCUAGCCACCUCCUCGACCACCUCCCGAAACUCCUCCGCCAUGGCCUCCUCGUCGCCGGCGAACCCCUGCCUCUCCGACAUUGUUCUGACCACCAGCAGGUAGGCGACAGCAAGGCGAACCCAUUCCAGUCCUUGUUGGGUCUUGAGAGCAUCGGCAACCUCGCCGGCGUGCUCCUCCUCCUCUCUGGCCAAAGGUAGGAGACGACCCCGACAGGUGUGCCCCACCUGUCCGUGGCCCAGCCUCCUACCCCGCGCUGUCCACAGCCACUGACCGAAGGGCCCCGCACGUCAGGUUCAAACCUCACGCGCGCGCGCCUCGGCAGGCUGUCGGCUGGCCAUGGGCCAGCCCAGCUCCAGGCCGAGCUAGGCCAGGAGUUUAGCCGAUUUUCUUUUUAUUUUGAAAAUAUGGUUUCUAAGAUUUUUAUAAAAACAUUUAACGAGUGUAAAAAUAUAUUUUUUCCACUUUUAUUUUUCUAAUAAUAUGAUUGGAUGAAUUUUUCUACAACUACUCUGUUUUACAAUAAUAAAAAGGACUAAAUUGGAAUAGUUUUGCUUCUGUUUGGUUAAUUUCAAAAAUGCUCCUUCAAGGGAAAUUAAGGCAAAUAUUUUUCAAAAUGAUAACUUAGANNNNNNNNNNAAAGAACAUUUUUAAAAUGACUUUGUGAUCUGUUUCUGUUGAGCUAUUUUUUAAUUACUGUUUUAUCGAUGAUAGAAAACCCGUGUGACGAGGGAAUCAGAGCGAAAGACCUCGAAGACCCCGAAUACUUAGCUGACCAAGGCAAGCAACCCUUUGACCAUGACUGAGCAUAUGUUACUUUGCAUGAUUAAAAUAGCAAGUAUGUCCGUUGCAUAUGAUCGUAAGUGCCGGUAAUCAUUUGAUAUGAUUUACCGAUGGCUCCCCCGGAGCACCUGCAUUGAGCUUGAUCCUACCUCUUGAGGGUCAUGCUAAUAUCAUGUUAACAAGUAAACAUAGAAGUAGUAUUAUCAUGAGCAUAUUGAUGACAUAAAGAAAGAGUUUAUGAAAACCCCAUGGGGUGCCACUAAUGCCCGAGGGUGAUGAUGAGUUAGGUGGUCACUUUUGAUGAGCUGAUGCACCCGGUAUUUGUGUGAGUAUGGUUUCAGAAAUGGGAUUAGAUUUAUGAUGUGUCGAUCGUCCCAACCUUACCAGUACAACCACUUACCCCUUAUGGGACGGGGCUAUGUUAAUUACUCUGGUCGGUGCUAGCAAAGAGCCACAUUACUAGUGGCAGGAGUGAUGUGUGGUCACUCUCAUGAUGGGGUCGUGCCAGGUAGGACGACUAUGCCAUUUUUAUGAGUUCCAGUCACACCGUUGGUCCCCGCAUGGUUGGUACUGUCCAGAGUCGAUGCUCGUAAGAUGUACAACAUGUGGGCUGGGUACCAAUUGAGUGGACCUCUUUGUCUAUUAUCGUCAGGGGAAAGGUAUUGAUCUGGUACUUACCUCGGGUAUGUUAUAUACCGCGAGUCGUGGAUGACACGGAAGUUUCCCGGAUCUCGUNNNNNNNNNNNNNNNNNNNNNNNNNNNNNNNNNNNNNNNNNNNNNNNNNNNNNNNNNNNNNNNNNNNNNNNNNNNNNNNNNNNNNNNNNNNNNNNNNNNNCCAUCAAGUGUGUGUUGAUGGGAGGCAAGUCUUUCUCUUUAUGAUGCUUUGUUCCAUCAUGAAAAUUUAUCGAUGGCUUGGUUUGUUGGAACCUAGCUCUCUUUUGGAAAUUAGAUACCUCGUGUUUGUUUUCCUUCAAUUGGUUUCUUGUUUCCUUUUAUUUGGCAUGUGUCAAUGGAUAUCUUAUUCCUUGAGGUAUCUUCUAAUUGAUAUCCUUCAAGUGAUAGUUAUUUUUUGUUUAGUAUCUUAUUAUCACUUGAUACCUUGUCUUUUGGUGACUUAUCAACUUUGUGUUGAGUUGAUUCUUGAGAGUCUUGUGCAUGCAUAUCUACUAUAUACAACUUCUUUUGCUUGCUUUCCUUCUUUGACCCAAUAUAUAGCGGAAACUCCACCUUGUCAUAAAUUGGCUAAAGUGUGCAUGAAAUUCAAAUUCAUAUCUAUAUGCACAUAUGUAUGUGGAGUUUGUCCUAUGUAUUGCUGGUUUUCUAACUCUUUGGUCCCAAUGAGUUUGGGCACCAUUUUGUUUGUUUUGCUGUUCCAGGAACAACUGGAGAUGCAUUGGAUGCUCGGCUCACCUAUAAGGAAGGUGUUGAGACCAUGUGAUUAUUGGAGCCAAGUUAGGAUGAUCAAAGAACAACUAUCUACUACAUCAAUCCAAUGUUGUCUCGGUAACAAGUAUCCACUUCAUGCAUUCUUUUAUUGCAAAGGCCCCAACCUGUCUUUUCUUUUCCAGGUUGCAUCAUGGCAUGAAUCUCUUGAUUCGUACUUGUAGUACUUGUUUGCUUUCUCAAAGCAUCCGAACGAUGAUGUCUUACUACUAGUUGGGAUGUCUUUGAUGUUCGUAUGUUGGAAGUUCAUAUUGUACAAUAAGAAAAUAUUAGGCCAUGUGCGAUGCUUCCAAGCAAAAGAUCUCAUUGAUAUAUUUAUGACUUCCUUUUGGAUAUCUAGUUUGUUCCUUCUUGUAACCAUUUCGUGUGUACAUCCUUCUUUGUGGAUAUAUAUCAUCAUGAUUGUCUUCUACUUAGAAUAUUUUACACAUGAGAGAAGUUACAUCUCUAAUUGAUAUCGUGUUUUCUUUCACGUCCAUCGUUGCAUUUCCUUUUUCAGUUUUUGGUGGCUUCGUGAAAGGAUUUGUUUUGAGUGCGUAUCUUAUUUUCCUACAUCUUGAUGCACUCUUUGGCCGUGAAGAUAAUUUUUCCUCAUGCAUGUCUUGAUGAGGGUUUUUCCAUUUCAAUUAGUAUCCCUCCUCUUGACAAGGUUCUUACUUCCUAUCUUCACAAUGGGUUGUCACAAGCGUUGGUUCUUAUUUUUUUUAUUAGUAAGCUUGUGAACCCAUUUUCUAGUAUGUGUGUGUGGGAAUGAUAUGUCUUGCACUUUGUAUCUCAUUUCAUCACGACUAUGUUGAUGAGUAAUGCACAUCCUUAUCUUAGUCUUCUCAAGUGCUUUGACAUGACUCACACACAUUACUUUGGUUGACCCUAUUCUUAAGUUGCUUCUUUUACUUGUUGCUCAACCAUUUGUUUUGUGCAAUUGAUAUGCUUAUUGUAUCAUCUAUCUUGUUGCACUCGUUGUGUGUUUUUAUUAAUUUUGGGGGAGCAACGAUCCUAUUUUGUGCACCUGUAUCAAAUAAAAAAAUCGCGUAUUAGUGCACAAAUCAUGGGGAGCUUCUCUAGUUUUUGAUAAAACACUCUCUUGCCUUUAUCAUAAUAUCUUUUAUUCAUGUGGUUUGAAGGACCAUAUGAUUGUUUGUUCCAUCUGGAAUCUUUUGAUUGAUUGCCUCUAUUUUUGUAUGUCUUUGUGGCAUACGAUCCUUUUAUUUGCAAUCUUUGGGUCCUCAAUAUAGUUUGUUUUCCUCCAACUACUUAUAAUUGUAUUUGUGUAUUUCUCUACACUCAUUUGCUGAGAAGUACACAUUUUUUUGGAGGACCACCUACUAUAUUGGCUUUCUAAACUUUUCGUCCAUUUUGGCAAUCGAUGCCAAUGGGGGAGAAGUUUAGAGAGUUUACUUUGGAUAUGUUUAGAGGGUUUUGCUUUUUAUUGCGUAAGCAUUUACAUCUUGCACGCAUGCAUUAUUACCUUGUAUGUGUGUGCUUGGUUAUGCUUAUUUCCUUAUAUAAACUCUCUUGAAGUGGUUGUCUUCAAUUACCAAAAUGGGGGAGNNNNNNNNNNNNNNNNNNNNNNNNNNNNNNNNNNNNNNNNNNNNNNNNNNNNNNNNNNNNNNNNNNNNNNNNNNNNNNNNNNNNNNNNNNNNNNNNNNNNUCCCUUCUCCACUAUAAAUACCCCCCUCCCACUUCGUGAGAGGGUGCCCAACACAGCCAUAUCCUCAUAAGAACACAUUUCUACCUCACACACAUUUGCUCACACCAAAUCUUAGAUCCCAAGAGCAUUUGUGAGCCCCUUUGAGAGUUGUUCCAAUCAAAAGAUAGAUCGUCUCCCUCUCCUCCUCUCAACCCAAGCUAUUUGAGAUUUGAGCAAGUUUUGAGCAUUCCAAGUGAUCUUGUUACUCUUCGAGGUUGGAGACUCCUAGGCGGUAGGAGUUCUUUGGAGAGGAAUCAAUCCGUGUGAUUUCCCCCGGAAAAUUUUGUGAGGGUUUGGAAGCUACCUCAAAGGCUUACCACUAGUGGUUGAGAAACGCCUUCGUGGUGUUANNNNNNNNNNUGCAAGUUUUGAGCAUUCCCCGUGAUCUUGUUACUCUUGGAGGUUGGAGACUCCUAGGAGGUAGGAGUUCUUCGGAGAGGAAUCAAUCCAUGUGAUUUCCCCCGGAAAAGUUUGUGAGGGUUUGGAAGCCACCUCAAAGGCUUACCACUAGUGGUUGAGAAACGCCUUCGUGGUGUUAUCUCAAAGGGAGAAUAGGGUGAGCCUUCAUGGCAUUGGUGUGCCUUCGUGGUAACAUCCACCUCUCUAACGGUGACUAGCUUCCCUACAAGGAAGAGAACAUCGGGAUACAUCUUUGUCUCAGUGACCUUGGUUGUCCUUAACCCUAACUCCUUACUUGUGGUUUACUUGUCUUACUUGAGCAUACAUACAUUGCAUAUUGUUUGUGCUCAUUAUAUUGUNNNNNNNNNNCCAAGGAAGUGAAUAUUGGGAUACAUCUUUGUCUCAGUGACCUUGGUUAUCCUUAACCCUAACUCCUUACUUGUGGUUUACUUGUGUUACUUGAGCAUACAUACAUUGCAUAUUGUUUGUGCUCAUUAUAUUGUGUUGGCUAUUUCUUUGUACAAGAUUAAUCGUUCAAGCAUACCCUCUAUAUCCACACGUUCACACUUGCAGCUUUUGAUAUAUCGUGUGUUAUAGUGUGAUCUAGUAUCUUAUGUCGUUCACCUACUUGUCGUGUGAUAUAGCUCAAGUAAGUUUGUGUAACUUACUUGUGCUUGUUAGUAACCGUGUUGUGUCCAUCUUGGUAGAUCAUGUUGUUGGUGCAUGUUGUGGUGCCUAUUGCAUUUAGGAUUUGUGCUUGAAAAGUAUCCUCUUAGUUNNNNNNNNNNNNNNNNNNNNNNNNNNNNNNNNNNNNNNNNNNNNNNNNNNNNNNNNNNNNNNNNNNNNNNNNNNNNNNNNNNNNNNNNNNNNNNNNNNNNAGGAUCAAAAGAUUUUAUGAUGGGUGAAUAAAGAGAGUGUUCUAAAGAAAAUAGGAUAGCUCCCCCAAGGGACGUGCAUUAUAUAGAAUUUGCAUUUAAAUACAAAAUGCACACGAUGGGAUCAUCACUUUCUCUAUAUCUAUAAAAACACUAGACAUGUUAAAAUAGAUCCAUAAGAGGCAAGGAAGACAAACGAAACACAAAAUCCAAUGUAAAGACAAUUAGCAAUUCCUAUCACAUGAUGGGAAUACCAAUUGUCAAGGACAAUAAGUAUUUUGGAAGUGAUACUCAUUGGUAGAUCGCAAAUAUAUCCAAGAUCAUCUUUACCCAUAAAACGCAAGCAAAUGACACUUGUAGAGCUACCAUGCCACCUAGGAACAAGAUAAUUUACAAUAUCAACACUAAGUGGCAACACCUCAAAUGUACACAUUUUCUAGGUUUGUAAUAUGCACAUAGCAUAUUACUCCCCCAUAAUGUGAUAAACCAACAAUAUUAACAAGUGGCAAAUUAAAACCAACAAGACAUAAUUAAUGGACCAUAUAGAAUUUGAAUUUCUCAUGAGUAAGACAUACCACAUAGAAACUAGAUAAUCUUGAAAUAUCAAUACUAAGUGGUAUUCCCCAUGUAUACACAUUUAUAGGAUUGUGAGGUGUGCAAAGCACAUCACUCCCCCAUAAUGGGAUAAUCCAUUAAUCUCCCACAAGAGCCAACAAAGAUACAAACAAGAUGCAAAAAGGCUCAAUACAAGACUCACAUGUACAUGAUAUGCAAACCAACAUACACAUACUCGAUUACUCAAGAUAAGCAAGUUGGAAGCACAACAUAUACAAAUGCAUGCAAGAUACAAAACCACAACAUGCAAAGGGGCAAGCAACUAACACUGUAAACAGUUUAAGUACAAGUUACCGUAAUGAGGCACAUUGGAUAUAAGAUAGAAACUCGAUAAUCCAAAUGACUCGGCUUGAUAUAAUAUGAAUGAUGAAGACCCUUUAAUUCUUCAUUAUGUAUCCAAGUCUCUAAUGUCCUCCAUAGUCACCUAUUGAUCAAGUUUGAGCUUGUUGGUCCCCAACUACGUUGGUUCCUAAGAGGUUAAUUACAAUAGGCUUGGCAACCCAAAUGGUUCUUUUCUUGACAUCAUUUUGAGUACCAACAAACUUGGCAAACACAUUGCCAACCUUAUCCUUCGCAAGGGAAUAGAUAUCAUGAAUAGUGAUUGGGUUGGAUAAGUUACCUCUUGUGCAAGACGAAGCAACGUGACCCUUCUCACGACAUAAGUAGGAAUAUCUACCCUUUGCUUUCUUCCCAGUUCAUUUCUCACCUCGGGGAGUGUUGGCUUGGGUCUUAUUAGGAAGAGGCCUUCCUUGAACUUGUAGCUGAGUAUGUGAUUGAGUUUGCGGUCGCUUCCCUUGUUGCUUGUGACUUUGAGACUUCGUCUUUAGAGGGCAAGCUCUAACAUGGUUCCCUUUAACUUUGCACUUGAAGCAAAUGAUUUUGGCUGAAUUCUUGACUUGUUCUAGGCCCCUCUUGUUCUUGUUUGAGUUUACUCCAACAUCAUUUUUUUCAUUUGGAGAUGUUUGCUCACAUAGGACGUUGUUGAGUGUGGACAUCCCUUCAUGACAUUGUUCCAAGUCUUUCUUCACAGAAGUGAGUUGGGCCUUGAGCUCUUCGAUAUCCUCUGCACGGUUAGUAUCAACGCAAGUACUAGAGGAAGUGUAAGCUUCAAUGUUAGAGAAACAAGGCAAGGAAAGUAAUUCAUCACACGAGGUAGCAACAUUAUGAGUAGACGAAUUACGAGGACUAGCACAUGGAAAUAUAGUAUUUUGACUAGAAGUAGUGCCAUUGUCCACAUGAGGCUCACUUGAUGUUACCUUGGUGAUGAUAGCCUCAUGAGCUAACUUUUGCACAUUAUGGGAUGUUAAAAGAUCGGCAUGAGAGCUUGUGAGCAUUACAUGGUUUUCUUCUAACUUCCGAUAACUGCUAGUUAGUAAGUCAAGUUGAGCACGUAGCUCAAUAUUCUCCUUCAAUGUAGAUACUUCAAAUGAGGUAGAGUUAGAUGUACAAGUAUCAUCAACAAUAUGAGAGGAGUAAGUAGAAAAUAGAGACUUCUCAUGAGUAGAUUGAAGCUCCUCAUAGAUCUUAGAGGUUUUGAUGAGCUCUCCCUUGACAUUAUUGCAUUCCAGGAGAAGGACCUCAAAAUCCUUUUUAAGUUUAUCAUGAGCAACUUCAAUCUCUCCUUUUGAAGAUCUUAAGUCUCUACAUGUUUGAUGACUCUUCUCAAGUUCAUGUUCAAGUUGUUCACUUUUAGCUUGUUCAUGAUUAAGUGAAUCAAUACAAUUUUCAAAGUAAGCAAGAACAUCUUGGAAUCUUUGAAGAGCGUUAUUUUUAGCUUUAUGAAGAAUUUUACAGAUCACAUAGAUAUUUUCAGUCAAGUCAUCAUCAUCAUCCUCAUCACAAAUAUCAUCGUUAUUGCACAGGGAAGAUGAUACCUCAUUAUUUCCUCUUGCCAUGAGGCACAUGUGAACUGGAGGAGUUGAUGAUGAUUCUUUUGGUGAAUCAGAUUCUUGUUUAGUCAAAAGUACUUCAUAUUUCUUGAUUUCCCUUAAAUGAUUAGUCAUAGAGCAACAAGGGAGAAACAAGAUAUUUUGAUCAAGAGGACACGGGAAAGCAGACAUAUCACCACAGAUAUUUGUCGAGGGAUCUUUACGUGAAAUGCAUGACCCAUCAGCACAAUAAUUUACACUAUGUGUGGUGCUUGAUAUGCUCGUGUCCAUAGAGGCUAUGACAUUUCCAUUAACAUAUAUUUCUUCACUCACCAUGUCAUUACCUUGUGAGAUUGAAGAAGCUGAGGUGUGCAAGCAAUCGGAUAUGGAAGUAGUGGUGGACUCUUUAUGACCGAAAAGAGUGAAGAGCUCAUGCACCAACUCCUUCAUCAUAAUAUCGUCUUCAUCAAGAUUGGAUCCACCAUAUAUAUUUUCAAGUUUAGUCCAAACUUCAUGAUCUGACUUGUAAGUUGAGAUAGACUUAAAAACUUCAGGACUUAUGGUUCGAUGAAUGGCAAGAAAAGCCUCACAAUCAAGAUACAUUUCAUUAGUAGAUUAAGAUGCAUCAUCCUUUUUGUCGGCAAUCCCUGCAAGAACAAUUCAUAAAGUAUUUGGGCCCAUGGCCCGAAAGUGAUGAAGCAUACGAAUUCUCCAUAGGGUAUAAUUUGUGCCAUCAAAGUCAAAGGUGUCAUUGUGCACUAAUCGAAUAGUCGACAUCGAUACUCUCUAGGUAAUGAAACCUAAUUAAAGAGAGACCUUGCUCUGAUACCAAUUGAAAGGACCACGAUGACGCCUAGAGGGGGGGGGGGGGGAAUAGGCUCUUUAAAAACUUCUUCGGAUUUGGAUUAAACCUAAUGCGGAAAUAAACUAAGAGGAUACUUUUCAAGCACAAAUCCUAAAUGCAAUAGGCACCACAACAUGCACCAACAACAUGAUCUACCAAGAUGGACACAACACGGUUACUAACAAGCACAAGUAAGUUACACAAACUUACUUGAGCUAUAUCACACGACAAGUAGGUGAACGACAUAAGAUACUAGAUCACACUAUAACACACGAUAUAUCAAAAGCUGCAAGUGUGAACGUGUGGAUAUAGAGGGUAUGCUUGAACGAUUAAUCUUGUACAAAGAAAUAGCCAACACAAUAUAAUGAGCACAAACAAUAUGCAAUGUAUGUAUGCUCAAGUAAGACAAGUAAACCACAAGUAAGGAGUUAGGGUUAAGGACAACCAAGGUCACUGAGACAAAGAUGUAUCCCGAUGUUCUCUUCCUUGUAGGGAAGCUAGUCACCGUUAGAGAGGUGGAUGUUACCACGAAGGCACACCAAUGCCAUGAAGGCUCACCCUAUUCUCCCUUUGAGAUAACACCACGAAGGCGUUUCUCAACCACUAGUGGUAAGCCUUUGAGGUAGCUUCCAAACCCUCACAAAAUUUUCCGGGGGAAAUCACACGGAUUGAUUCCUCUCCAAAGAACUCCUACCGCCUAGGAGUCUCCAACCUCGAAGAGUAACAAGAUCACUUGGAAUGCUCAAAACUUGCUCAAAUCUCAAAUAGCUUGGGUUGAGAGGAGGAGAGGGAGACGAUCUAUCUUUUGAUUGGAACAACUCUCAAAGGGGCUCACAAAUGCUCUUGGGAUCUAAGAUUUGGUGUGAGCAAAUGUGUGUGAGGUAGAAAUGUGUUCUUAUGAGGAUAUGGCUGUGUUGGGCACCCUCUCACGAAGUGGGAGGGGGGUAUUUAUAGUGGAGAAGGGAAAGUGACCGUUGGGGUCAGUUAAGUCUGACUGUGGUCGGGCAUCCGGCAGUUCUCGGAUGUCCGGAAUCCCACACGGGGUCGGACGUCCGACAGGGGUCGGUCGUCCGAGGGAUGUAAAUAUAUGAGGAACCACUGUGUAGUCGAACAGGGACCGAACAUCCGGAGGAAGUCGGACGUCCGGCCCUCGGACGACAGGAGGACGCCGGAAGUCCGAGUUAUUUGACUCAAAUUUCUUCUGGUGCAAGGUUCCAGUUUUCCGAAGGGGGUCGUACGUCUGGAGAGAGCUGGUCGUCC
rnacentral:lncRNA from 1 species